GUUUUUAUUUUUUGGUAUGUUUCUUUACUUUAUUUUUCAUCUUUAUUUACAGGAUGAAAACGGCAGGUGGAACCCCGAGCUUCUUCGCCGCCACAUCAUCAUGUUGAUCAAGCCAUCGUCGUGGCCUUGACGACGUCCUUGCUUGGGCUCCAGAACCGGAAGGAAAUUUCAGUGUCCGUGGCGCUUACCAUCUCGCCCUUGACGAGCGUCCCAUACAUGCUGCACGAGCAGGGCACCAGACGUCACAAGUACUGUCCGAGGAGCAUUGUGGGGGGUGCUUGCUCGUCCCAAGGUACGCGUCUUUGAGUGGUAUCUUGUCACCAUCUCACGAGAUACAAUGACAAAUAGAGCAAAGAGGAACAUGGAUGUGACUGGCACAUGUUUAAUGUGUGGGGUGAAACGCGAGGAGACCUUCCAUGUAUCUUGUAGAUGUCCUAUGGCGCAGGAUCUGUGGAGGGCGAUGAGCAAUCAUUGGGAAAUGCAAGACCGGAGGAGGUCGAAUUCUGGACCGGAAUGGCUCUUACACCUACUCUACUACAACACCGCACUCAAGAUGAGCGCCCCUGUAUCCUCAUGACGUUGUGAAGGACCUGAUGCGUGCAUAAUGAAGUGGCACACCAUAAGCCGUCACCUCUAAUAGUUGCAUCCCAUAGAUUUUUGAAUAAUUACAUCGACUCAAUGUUAUGCAUCAAACAACACGCAGAAGCUAACAUGAAAAGAGGGAAUGGUACCAUCUGUUGUAUAGGAUAAAUCAUCACAACAACCCACAACGACAUACCACUACUGCUGACAGGCGGAGUGCCACACACGCAUCGUCGAGGUUUUUAUCUGAUGCCAUCAUCAUCACCCCUCCAGAGCCAGUGGCUAUGACUCCGCCAUCAACAACCUCCAAUGUAGCCCUCACCGCAAAACAGGGCGUCGGGUCCAUGUCAGUUUAUGCCAAAUUAUAGAAACACAUGUCCGUCAGCCCUAUAGCCUAGCCUAGAAGUAGGUUGCGGUGCAGCGCACUGUACAAUCAUAUUGUACUACAAAGUAGAUUUUCCCACUAAUCAAUUGACCGGUCAUUGUAUGCGAUACAUGAACAUGCAUUUCCAUGAGUAAACAUUCAAACUGCACAAAGAAAAAUUGUUUCGUGCCUAUAAAUAAUUUUUUUGGUUAAGAAGAAAAAAACACAUCAAAUAUCAAUAUUAGCAUCUAUCAAAAUUUUGGUCACAUUUCAUAUGAGGGGCAAAAAGGUCUUUUCAAGUGUCGCUUAACACUGUUAAGGCUUAAAAUGGACGGAAGUGUUAUAAAGGGCAUAAAAUUUAGACGCGGUGUUAUACAAAGAAGAAAGGUAUUUUUAGUGUCAAGUAGGAAAGAAAAUAUAAGAGAAUGUUUAAUAAGGGAUUCUCUCUUGUUUUAGAGACUACCACCUCCACCCGUUGUUUCUUCUCUGGUUCUGGCACAACAUCUAUCUUCAUAAAGUUUGUACCACGCUUUCUUGAAUCUGGAAUCAACUUGGUUUGUUCCUGGGUAUUCUUUGAUCGGUCUUUUCUCUUGAUGGUGACACACUUGCUCUUAUUUCUACUCUCCCGAGCAUUACCCUCACUUAAGCAUUUUUUAGAAUUUCUUUCUUUUACCCCCGAUUCUUCCUCCACCUCCCUGGUUAUAUAUUUACCUUGCACUUCAGUUGCUUCAUGUUCUGCAUUUUCUCCCUUUGGUUAUCCUAUGUAAGUUUCUUCAACAUUCUCACCCUGCUUUUUUGUUGUCCCUGUGUCAACGACCGCCAGUUCAUGAUUAUUUCCUUCAUUAACUUGCUUGUUCACCGUAUAUUUUAUUUUCUGCUUCACAAUUUGAUCCUAUGUUUCUUUGUUAUAAUCAAGUUUCUUUCCUUUAGCUUGUUCAGUAACUUCAUUUGCAGUUUUCAUAGGGCUGGUAGCUUCCUUUUCGUCGCUUGCUCUUACUCCCAACCCUCCUUCUUGGCUUGUAGAGAUUUUCUUCCAUGGGAUAGCAUCACUGCCUUGCUUACUUCCUCGGCUCCCUCCGCCCUUGUCUAUCCAGAAGCGUGUCGUGUCAUUUGAACUCCUACCUUUCUCCUCAUCGCUAGAGUUUUGCUUAAAAAUCUCAGCUUUCCUCCACCGCCCAUAGUCUCCUUUCCUUGCUUUUACUAGGUUUGUGCAAUUCCUAUCUUGGUGGCCAAUCACACCACAAGCAUAGCAGAAGUCAGGAAGGAACUCAUAUUUAAAAGACACCACAUGCUCAUUUUCCUUCUUGUUCUUCUGCAAUUCAUCCACCUCCUCUAACAAUUAUUUGUCUACUUCCUCCUUCUCAUUCUCAUUUGUCAUAAUUGCUAUCCCUCUCAUAAGAGGUUUAGUAAUAUCUAGUUUGACCUUUAUUCUCAUGAAUUCCCCAGUUGCCAUCUCAUUCUCAUCAACGUCCACAUCUAUGACCUCUCCAAUUUCCCUCUCGAUGGCUUCUCUGUCGGAGUAAAUGACCACGGGUAGCCUAACUGACUCCCUUUGGCCCUCAGAAAAAAACAAUGGGCCGACCGAGCCCUGAAGCAACCAAGACACGGGGCCGCCUUCUUCCGGCCGGCUGGCAGAAGGCGGCCCGGCCAUAAAGAGCCUUUGGAGGACGCCCCGAUAGGGCCGACUCCAAGAAGCCGGCCCCUGAAGGACCGACUCCAAGAAGCCGGCCCCUGAGGGACCGACUCCAAGAAGUCGGCCCCUGGCAGACGGCCGUGGGCCGCGCCCUAAAAGUCCACCCUCCAUAACGGUGACGGGACAGGGCGUGGCUACAGUGGCCCCUGCCACCCCUGAAUCCCGGAACACGCAUGGCUACAGUACGCCGUACAGGGCGGCCAUCUCCUGUCCGGCGAGGCACUGUUGCCAUACAGACUAUGACGCCAUCCAGGACGGGUCGCCAGUACGGCCCGCAGGCGGCGGGCCCCUUCGGUCAGAGAGACAUCCGAAGGCGGCCUGACCUCUCCCAGCCGGCCUGAGGCCGGGCCGGCUUCCUAUAGCCGGCUAGCUUCCCUCCUUGGGGCGCGCGCACCAUUAAGCAGAAAGGAUGAGGUAAGGCUACAGUGAGAGCCCUCAAGGUGGUAGCAUUGUAGCCAUACUUACCUCGACAAAGCCCUCUUCAUCAGAGGCGAGGCAACAGUAACCAGCCCCCGACAAGACCCCCCAAGCGGUGGGGCCGGCCUGUCGACCAAUGGGCCGGCAGCCGGCGGGACCCACCAGUCGGCGGGCCCCAGUAGCCGGCGGACGCAGACGCUGACGGCCUGGACCCACGACCAGCCGGAUUACCAUUGUACCCCCGGGUGGUAGGCCUAUAUAAAUCCCCCGGGACACCCAUGCAAAGGGUUGAUCUCAUAGAGUUUUAGACACCACCAUAGGGAGAGAAGAGAGCUAGCCUUGCCCUUCUUCUUCCCCCCAUCGUACAGCUCAAGGAGCCUCUUGUAGCUUCUUACUGAUCUAGUGAUCAUGCGGAGACCCCGCAAAGCAGGAGUAGGGGUAUUAUCUCCACGGAGAGCCCCCAACCUGGGUAAGAUCCGCCGGCGUGCAUGUCUUCGCCUUAUCCUGUUUCCAGGCACCGGCGAUGUCUUACUGGCUCCCACAAUGAUAAGCCAUCCGUUGGCAUAUAUCGCACCUACCACCCGACAUUUGGCGCCCACCGUGGGGCCAGGUGCACCGUCGUCCGGAGACCUACUCUGGACGGGAACCCUUUUCCUCCCCAGCGAGCGUAGCCAGCCCGGCACGCCCGAUGGCGCUUGCCCCGACGUGCUGCAAAGCGUCGACGACGCCUGCGCGGCGAGCUGCAUCGCCGACCUUCUUGGCGAGACUCGCAUCUCCGACGAGCCCGCGUCCGACACGGGCACAAGCUGCCCCGAGAACCGCCUCGUCAGCCUCCUCGACCAACUCCACGUCUCCGGCGAGCCUACCGCGGACUUGGAGUCGGUCGGCUCCACCGACCCGAUGCUUGUCGACUCCGACACAGCGUCGCUCGAUGCCUUCCCCACCAACAUGAUCAUCUUCGAUGACCCUCUCCCUCGAGCCGACAGUGGCGGCAGCACCGUCACUGAAGUGCCGGUCAUCAGCCACGGCGUCACCUCCGACGAGAAUGCCCGCGACGCCCUGCAGGCUACGCUGCACGAUCUGUCCGUCCCCAUCCCGGCGGACGCUGACGCUGAGACGCUGGAGGCACGCCGCCUUGCCCUCUUUGCGGAGGGCCAGAGGAUUGCCUCCAUGAGACGUCUCAUGGAAGCCCACCAGCGCGAAGUCGACCGCGCCACCUUCGGCACGCCGCCUCCAGAAGGGACAAGCCGAGUCGGCAUCGUUAAGAAAUGCAGCACGGCCAUCGCCAGCAUGCUGGGAGCGGACCGCCCAGUCUAUGCCACGCCCCUCGAGAAUCUACGCGCCGCCCAGUCAAUCGUGGAUGAGCUAAAUGGACUGGGGGCCGACGAGCUCCCCUACAUGAUCAGACGCAUCCAACAGCUGAUCGACGCGGCCGCAGAGCGGCACAAAGCCGGCGUCCGAGCUGGAAGCCCUCCUCGUCGAGAGCACGACGCGACGUCGCGUACGCCGACUGCGGGUGGCGCCCGCACAAGACAAGAGAAGGAGUCGGCUGCUAGCCGCAGCCGGACUCGAAUCACCAUCGAGCGCGACGCUGAAGGCCGUCCCCGAUGUGUGGAACGACAAGGCGACCCGCCUCCUCCUCCGCCUCGCGGGGAAAGAUAUCACACCCCGCCGCCUGUCGAGCAUCCGACUCUCAGCGGCCGACUUGGUCGCUGCGAAGGAGUCGGCAAGAAUGAUGCCCGCCACCGGAUCGACCGCCUCACAUGAUCCCUGGCCCUGGAAGAAGAAGAAGAUGUUGGCCCACCUUGCUUCGCCCCCACAUCCGCGACGAGCCCUUUCCCAAAGGGUUCUCGCUGCCAAGAGACACGCCCAAGUACAACGGAUCCGUGAAGCCGGAAGAUUGGUUGAUCGACUACUCCACCGCCGUUCGCAUAACAAACGGCAACAGACGUGUUGCCGUGAAAUAUGUCCCCCAGAUGCUUCAAGGCACGGCGCGCACCUGGCUCAACAGCCUCAAGCCUUACAGCAUCAACAACUGGCUGGACUUCACCGAAGCCUUCAUACGCAACUUCACCAACACCUACAAACGGGCUCCCAAGCCCCGACCGCUCUCCUUGUGCAUACAAGGGCCCAACGAAUCGACACGCGACUACCUCACGCAUUGGGCUGAGCUCCACAACUCCUGCGAAGGGGUGCACGAGGUUCAGGCCAUAGAGUACUUCACCGCCGGGUGCCGCGAGGGCACUCUCCUCAAGCACCGACUCCUCUGCGACGAGCCGGCAACCCUCGAUGAGCUACUGAUUAUCGCGGACAAGUAUGCCACGGCCGACUCUUCAAUGAAGACUGAGCUCCGGGUAGACGCCUCGGGAAAGGUGCUGGCGCCGGCUCCCAAGACGCCGGCUGGAGAAUCAAGCCGGCGCCCGUAUCAAAGCGACCACAAUCGCAAGGCCCCUAUGCCGCCUUCCACAAGCCGGCAGGUGGCUACGGUCGAAGAAGAGCAGCCCGAAGGACGGCUGGCUCCCAAAAAGCAGAAGGGCGGCAGGCCGGCUUGGCAGCCGGCUUUCUCCUACGAGCAAACUCUCGACGCCCCCUGCAAGUUCCACAGCGGUGCGAAGCCGUCCAACCACACAACUCGGAAGUGCCAUUGGCUCACCCGAAUCUCCAAGGGCGAGGGGCUGUUGCCGCCUCUGCCUGCAGGCCAGCCGCCUCCUGCGCCGCAGCACCCGACUGCUCGGCCAGCAGUCGGAGCUAUCCAAGACGAGUUCCUCGAUGAGCAAGCCGCCUACGUCGUGUUCACCAGCCAGACAGAAGAUUGGCGCACCCGGCGCUGACAGCAGCAAGAAGUCAACGCGGUCGCCUCCAGUAACCCCGAGUUUAUGCACUGGUCGGAGAGGCCCAUCAGCUGGAGCCGGGACGACCACCCAGAGGUGAUGCCGUCUCCUGGCUCCUAUGCCUUGGUUUUGGAUGCCACCCUGGUGACAGAAAGGCGUGCCGCCCGUUUCUCCCGCAUGCUGAUAGAUGGCGGGAGCAGCAUCAACAUACUGUACUGAGAUACAAUGGAGAAGCUCAACAUCAAGCUGAAGCAACUCAUGCCAAGCCAGACUGUGUUCCAUGGCAUCGUACCCGACCUGUCCUGCUCACCAAUCGGCAAGAUCAAGAUGGAUGUCCUCUUUGGGGGCAAAGAUCAUUUCCGCCGAGAGGCAAUAUGGUUUGAGGUAGUGAAUUUGGAGAGCCCGUACCACGCAUUGCUUGGCCGACCAGCGUUGGCCAAGUUUAUGGCUGUGCCCCACUACGCCUACCUCAAGAUGAAGAUGCCGAGUUCCAAGGGCAUUAUCACCAUAGCCGGAGACUAUAAAAAGUCUUCUGAGUGCGCAGCAGCCAGCAGCCGGCUGGCCGAGUCCCUCGUGAUCACCGAAGAGAAGAAGUUGCUGAAUCGAGUUGUGGCCUUGGCUGGCAAGCAGCCGACCCUGUCUCCUGACCCCAAAGAAUGUGAAGCCCAAGGUUCUUUUCAGCCGGCCAAGGAGACAAAGAAGAUACCCCUAGACCCGGAGCACCCGAAGAGGUACGCUAUCAUGGGCAUAGGCCUUGACAGCAAAUAGGAAGGCGAGCUCGCCGAUUUCCUCCGUGAGAAUUGGGACAUCUUUGCAUGGUCUCCCAAACACAUGUCGGGUGUUCCGGCGGAUUUCGCCGAGCACAAACUACACGUCCGACCUAACGUCAAGCCGGUCAGGCAGCCCUUGCGCCGCCUGUCAGAAGAGAAGAGAAGAGUUGUCGGCAAAGAGAUAGCCGGGCUCCUAGCAACCGGAUUCAUUAUGGAAGUGUUCUUUCCCGAAUGGCUGGCCAACCCAGUCUUAGUGUUGAAGAAAAACAAGCAAUGGCGCAUGUGUAUUGACUACACCAGCCUCAACAAAGCCUGCCCUAAAGAUCCAUUUGCCCUGCCAAUGAUUGACCAAGUGAUAGACUCCACAGCCGGAUGUGAGCUGUUGAGUUUUUUGGAUGCUUAUUUAGACUACCACCAGAUAAAGUUGGACCCAGCUGAUCGCUUGAAGACCGCCUUCAUCACCCCAUUCGGAGCUUUCUGCUACCUGACCAUGACAUUCGGCUUGAGAAAUGCCGGUGCCACCUUUCAGCGUUGCAUGCAGAAAUGCCUCCUCAAGCAACUCGACAGAAAUGCCAACGUCUACGUAGAUGAUGUCGUGGUGAAGACGGAAGAGUGAGGCACCCUGCUGGAAGACCUCAAGGAGACCUUUGAGAAUUUGCGCCGGUUCCAGAUCAAGCUCAACCCGGAGAAGUGUGUGUUCAGGGUACCAGCCGGCCAGCUUCUGGGCUUCCUGGUCUCCGAACACGGCAUCGAAUGCAACCCAGUGAAGAUCAAGGCCAUAGAGAGAAUGAAGAUUCCUACCAAGCUGCGAGACGUCCAAAAGUUCACCGGAUGCCUGGCAUCCUUGAACCGCUUCAUGAGCCGGCUCGGAGAAAAGGCGCUCCCCCUCUACCGACUCAUGAAGAAGUCCACUCACUUUGGGUGGAAUGACCAGGCGGACCAAGCUUUCCACGAGUUGAAGAAGAUGUUGUCCACCCCGCCUGUCUUGGCGGCCCCAACUGAGAAGGAGCCCAUGUUCCUCUACAUUGCCGCCACCAGCCGGGUGGUCAGCACAGUCAUCGUGGUCCAACGUCCAGAAGAAGGCCGAGCUCAGCUAGUCCAGAGGCCAGUAUAUUAUUUGAGCGAAGUAUUGUCCACCUCAAAGCAGAACUGCCCGCACUACCAGAAAAUGUGCUAUGGUGUGUACUUUGCCUCCAAGAAACUCAAGCCCUACUUUCAAGAACAUCCCAUCACGAUCGUAUGCACUGCCCCGCUUGCCGAGAUCAUAGGCAGCCGGGAUGCAUCCGGCCAAGUGGCAAAAUGGGCCAUUGCGCUGACUCCUUACACAAUCUACUAUCAGCCCCGCACCGCCAUCAAGUCCCAAGCAUUGGCCGACUUCCUCGUCGACUGGGCCAAGACCCAGUACCUGCCACCAGCCCCCGACUCCAGUCAUUGGCAGAUGCAUUUUGACGGAUCCAAGAUGUGCACCGGCUUGGGAGCCGACAUCGUCCUCACCUCUCCCAAGGGCGACAAACUCAGAUACACAUUGCAAAUCCACUUUGCUGCCUCCAACAAUGUGGCCAAGUACGAGGCGCUCAUACACGGGCUCCGGCUAGCCAAGGAACUCGGCAUCCGCCGGAUCCUGUGUUAUGGCGACUCGGACUUGGUGGUUCAGCAGUCAUCUGGCGACUGGGACGCUAAGGAUGCAAACAUGGCAAGCUACCGUUUCCUCGUUUAGCAGAUCACCGAAUACUUCGAGGGGUGCGAGUUCCUUCAUGUGCCACGGGCCGACAAUGAACAAGCACAUGCCCUGGCACGAAUAGGCUCCACCCGACAAGCUAUACCAACCGGCGUCACCCUCCAACGCCUCCUCAAGCCAUCUGUCAAGCCGUCUCCGGAAUCCAAUUCCAUCUUCGUGCCGCCUGACCCCGACGCAGUCGGAUCCGACUUCAGGGACCAACCAGGCGGCCCGGGGACUUCGGCAGCCGGCUCGGGGACUGCCAUAGUCGAACCCGGCCCGGGACUGUAGCAACACAGCAGGCAGAGGCCGACUCCAACUCCUCACAACCCAGCCCGCCCACCCUGGUUGCACUAGCUGUUUUGGAAAUCGAAGAAGUCAUAGCUCCAUCAUGGGCUCAACCCAUCCUCCGUUUUCUGAUAAACGGAGAGCUGCCGACUGACGAGAUCUUGGCAAGACAAGUCCAACACUGAGCCGGAGCUUACACAAUAAUGAACUGAGAGCUAGUUCGGCGCAGUGCUACCAGAGUCUUCCAGCGCUGUGUCGAGCCAGAGAAAGGCAUAGCAAUCCUCGAAGACAUCCACCAAGGCGAAUGCGGCCACCACGCCGCCUCUAGGGUGCUCGUCGCCAAGGCCUUCCGCCAUGGAUUUUUCUGGCCGACUGCUUUGGAGGAUGCCAAGGAACUAGUCAAACACUGCAAAGGGUGCCAAGUCUUCGGCUCCAAGCAACACAUGCCGGCUUCUGCACUCAAGACCAUCCCCAUCACUUGGCCUUUUGCUGUCUGGGGGCUGGACAUGGUCGGCCCAUUCAAGACAGCGCGUGGCGGCAUGACACAUUUGCUUGUCGCCGUGGACAAAUUUACCAAAUGGAUUGAAGCAAAGCCGAUCAAGAAACUGAACGGGCCGACUGCCUUGACAUUCAUUGCAGACAUUACAACCCGGUAUGGAGUACCACACAGCAUCAUCACCGACAAUGGCACGAAUUUUGCCAAGGGAGCACUGACACGUUUCUGCGUGACACAGGGCAUCCGGACUGGACUUAGCGUCCGUUGCUCACCCGCAGUCAAACGGCCAGGUCGAGCGAGAAAACGGCCUCAUCCUCUCCGGCAUCAAGCCCCGACUGGUUGUGCCACUGGAGCAUUCGGCCGGCUUCUAGCUCGACGAGCUGCCGGCCAUCCUUUGGAGUCUGCGCACUACCCCAAACAAGUCAACCGGCUUCACCCCCUUCUUCCUUGUAUAUGGUGCCGAGGCGGUCAUCCCAACUGACAUCAAGUUCGACUCACCUCGGGUCACCAUGUACACAGAGGCGGAGGCCAAGGAAGCACGAGAAGACGGUGUCGACUUGCUGGAAGAAAGCCGGCUGUUAGCCCUCAGCCGGUCUGCCAUCUACCAGCAAGGUCUGCGCCGUUACCACAGUCGGAGGGUCAAGCCAAAAGCUUUCCAAGAGGGAGACCUUGUGCUCCGGCUGAUACAGCGAACAGCCGGCCAGCUCUCGGCUCCUUGGGAAGGCCCCUUCGUCAUCAGCCGGGCUCUGGGAAACGACUCCUACUACCUAAUCGACGCGCAAAAGCCGAAGGCGCGCAAGAGAGACGACUCUGGCAAGGAGAACGUCCGUGGAAUGCCAAUCUUCUCCGAAGAUUUUACAGUUGAAAUGCAGUAUGUAUCACGCUACCUUUUGUAUUAAGUAUGAGACAACGGGCUCUGUCGGGGAUAUACCCCGUGGUAUGAUCCGGCCGGACUUGGCGAUUCACCAGAAGACCCGGCUGGAGCGUGGUGACUCACUGGUGACCCGCCUGGAGCUUGGCGAUUCACAGAUAACCCACCCAAUAUUGCCGACUCAUUAGUAACCCGGCGGGCGGGUCAGAUGGACAACAAGGCCCAAAGCCUAGAAGGCCGGCUCACGUUAUGAUGGGCCGGCUUAAGAGGAAAGGGAUGACAAAUAUUUCCUUUAUGAGGAAGCAAGACCCGGACUUGUAUUUAACUUGUAAGAGAAGAUAGACUAGUCCUAGUCCUACUAGGACUCCACAUGUAACCCGCCCCUCUAACUUAUAUAAGGAGGGGCAGGGCUCCCCAAGGAGGGAACAAAAACAAUAUCUAGAGCUAGACACAAAGGGGGAGCCGGCUUAUGCGGCGACUCUCGAUGAGCAUAAUGAGACCUAGCCUCAAACAGCAUGUAGGGCUAUUCCGGAUGAUGUUUCCCGGGGCCCGAAGCUGUCUAAAUCCUUGUCUUGUCUGUUGCAUCUCUCGUCCCGAUCAACCCCUCUCAAGCUACCGCAUAGAUGCGUUGGCCUCGCGACUAAGUCCUGACACUAAGUGUCAGGACCCCGACUCAAUGCCACAUCGAUCUAGCAUGUAACACCUCAUAUCACUUUGCGGCCUCACGCACGGUAUUCCCACGGGUGUCGCCUUACCUUAGCCCGGGACCGUUUGCGCCUUUUGGCACACGUAUAUGACAGUGCCGCUAGCAUCCAUAUGAUAAGGAGCCCGGGCUGACAUGGCUAGUCGUAAACCCAAAGUGGCACAGACUUACAGGGACAGGCAUCCAUGACCCAGCAUCGAACGUGUCGGUCAUCAGCGAGUGAAUCCAGGCUGUAGCACUGGGCUAGCAGGACUCCGGUGAACCGGGCUAUAGCAGGCUAACAGGACUCCGGUAUUCAUCGCGUGACAUUUCCCCGAAGGGACAGACACAGGAACGAAGAAGGACACAUGCCGGCCAGCCUAAGUGUUCCAGAGCAGUAGCAAGCUACCAUGGCUCGGUGGAAACACUAGGAGACAUUUCCCGGUAAGAGAGGCUACUAAAGAUAAACAACUAGAUAGUCAGAUCCCACACAUACCAAGCAUUUCAAUAACAUACACACAAUAUGCUCGAUAUGUGCAAUACAACAUGGCAUCACAAAAUGACUCUACGACUCAAGUAAUUUAUUCAAUAGGCUCCGAGGAGCGAGAUAUUACAAACAUGGGUCUCAUGACCCAACAAUCAGAGCAUACAAAUCAAAGCACAAGCGGAAGCUAUCAUGUCUGAGUACAGACAUCUAUAAAUGAAAAAGGCUGAGAAGCCUGACUAUCUAUCAGAUCCUGCCGAGGGCACAAGAUCGUAGCUGAGGUAUCAAGCUAAACGUCGAAGUCCACGCGGAACUACUAGUGAGACUGAAGUCUCUCUGCAAAACAUAAAAUAGGCAAACGUGAGUACAAAUGUACCCAGUAAGACUUACAUCAGAUCUAUCUACAUAUGCAUCAUUGUCAACAAGGGGGUGGAGGGGUUUGACUGCAGCAAGCCAGCUUUGACUCGGUGGCUAUCCUGAACUACGACUGCAAGUAACUCUUUUGAGGUGGCGCACACGAGUCCACAUAUUCACCAACCAAUACACCACUAUGGAUCCGCUCCCGUCUCCCUACGAGAACGCCAUCCAUAGCACUCACGCUUAUCUUGCGUAUUUUAGGGUAUCCACUUUCACUUGUCUAUGAACUGAUAUAAGCAACCCAGAAGUCCUUUACCGCGGACACGGCUAUUCGAAUAGAUGAUGUUAACCCUGCAGGGGUGUACUUCUUCAUACAUGUUUCCACCACUUAGCGUCUGCACACGACAUGUGCUCGGCAGACUUCAAGCGAAAGCCGACGUGGGUGUAGACCACGACCUACCUAAACACUCAAGUCUCUAGUCCAGGUUUAUCGCCUAUUCGGGUUCCAUCCAUGAGGAGAUCCGGCCGGAGUUUCGCUCACAGCCCCAAACGAUGUGAACAGGGUUCCGUGACACCAAACGGGCGCCCGGUAUACCCGGCCACGUGCCUACCGCAUCACAGCCCACCCCUACGGUCAGCGCUGUCCAUGGCCUCCAGCAUACUACAAGCACCAGAAACUACUUGCAACUCCUGGACAGAGGACAAGGGUGAAUAAGAAGUCGAGCGGGGUCAUAUUUCAGGGCCCAAUGUAUGGUAGUAGCUGAAUCAUGGAUCACAAACACAGAACUCAGUUCCUGAGGACGGCUUCAAUGAGACAACCCACCAUGUACUCCUACAUGGCCUCUCACCGACACCUUUUACCAAAUCGUGUUCACACACUUAGCUCACACACAGUAGGACAUGUUCACCCGCCUCUGAUUCAUCCCCGAUGAAUCAGACCCGACUCAACUCUAAGCAGUAGCAGGCAUGACAAACAAGCAUGAAUGAGUAGGCACAAUAGGGCUCAAACAACUCCUACUCAUGCUAGUGGGUUUCAUCUAUUUACUGUGGCAAUGACAGGUCAUGCAAAGGAUAAAAGGGGUUCAGCUACCGUAGCAAGUAACAGAUGAAUCGGUGUUGUCCUAAUGCAUUAAAAGAGAGCAGGAGCGAGAGAGUAGGAUUGUAUCGGAAUGAACAAGGGGGUUUUGCUUGCCUGGCACUUCUGAAGAUAACAUUGAGUCUUCAUCAGUGUCAACGAUCACAUCAUCGGUAUCACGUCUAUCGAGAGGGGACAAUACCGGCAACACAGAAGGGAACACAAUCAAUGCAAUGCACAAUAUGAUGCAUGCUCAUGACAUGGCAAUAUGGAUGUGUUUUGAGCUAAUGCAACUAGCAACAGAUUAAAUGAAGUUGGUUUGAAUACAAGAUUCAAAUUCAAACUCCAUAUGUGAUUAUUUAAAUGCCCUUUAUUUGUUUUGUGCUAAACAGCAUCUAUAAGUUGUUCUAACAUGCAUGAAAAUGGUACAGAUGGAUUCCUUGAAUUUUUUUGAUAAUUUUUCAUAUAUAAAUUAUUUAAUUUGGAGUUACGGUUAAUUUUCUAUGAUUUUUAGAAGUUUUAGGUAUUUUCUGGAAUUUUCUGAUUUAUUUUAAAUCCAGAAAAUCAUUUAAUGCGUCAGCAUGACAUCAUCUUGACGUCAGCAGGUCAACAGGGCGCCUCCAGGUCAAACCUGACAUGUGGGGGCCACACGUCAGUGACACAGGGUUGUUUAACCCACUGACAGGUGGGGCCGGGUCAAAGGCCACGUCAGCACGGUCAAGCUGACGCGUGGGGCCACUGUGAUUAAUCUAAACUAACAGAAGUUUAAGCCGUGGUUAAUUAAGGGCGUGGGGCCACUGUCAGUGUCACAAAGCGGUGGUUAGUGGCUAAUUAAGCCAGCCACGUCACUGGCCACCGGAGUUCGGCCGGCGGCGACCCGGAACGCGGCGGAAAUUCACCGGGGUUGCGCUACGGGCGACGGCUGGACGCGCGAAGGGCACCAGAAGGUAGCCCGUGCCCGUGCACAUCUAGGGGGGCCAACGGGAGGUGCGGGGGUGGCCGGGGUUCGCCGGAAUGGAGCCCGAGGCGGCGGCCGGAGCUCGGGUGGGUGCGGAGUUAGCGCUGCGGCUUGCAAACAAGCUAGCUGCCACGCUAGCGUUGCUCCACGGGUCGUUGCGAGUGCAACGGACGCACGCGCGGGGCCAUUUGGUCACCGGGGCUUCACCGGCGACGAGCCCGUGCGGCGGAGCGUCUCGGCUCCGGUGGAGGGAGCGGCUAGGGGGUGAAUUAAGCAACGAGGCAUGGGGGAAACGAUGCAGCGGCUCACCGCGGUUCUUCUGGUGCUGCUGGCGAGGCAGGGGAGGCACGAGGUCCGGCGAAUCGACGGAGGGGAGCUUCGGUGGCCGGCGACGGAACGGCGAUGGUGGCGGCGUUGCAGGGCUUCCGGAGGGCCGUGGGUCGGUGGGGAGGAAGGAGGGGGUCGAGGCGGAGCUCCCUGGGCGUCGGUGAGGCGUGGGGAGCACGGUGGCUGCGGCAAUCGGCGUCGGUGGCGGCGGCUCCGCUCGGGUCCGAGGUGCGGAGCGAGAGGGAGAGCAGGAGAAGGGGAUGAGCACGGGAGGGAGUUGAGGGAGGCCUGAGGGGGUGCGUGGCAUCCUUAGCCGAUCCGGGGCGGGGCGGCAAGUAGGAGGUGGCUCGGGCGCGUGCGCGCGCGCUCCGGCCACGCGCCUCUGUCCUACUAUCCCGAGGAGGAAGACGACAGGGAGGGCGCUGGUGGGCUGGGCCGGCCAGGGGGGGGGAGCUGGGCCGGCUGGUGGGCUGCGCGGGUGAGGCCAGGUAGGCUUUACUCUUUUUAUUUUUUUUCUCUCUGUUUUGUUUUAACUCUGUUUUCUAUUUUGCAGGUUUGUUUUGAAUUUGGUUUUGAAACCAAUUCAAUUUAUUUUGCUUCUGACAAUAUUUUUAGGAGCUAAAAGAAUUAAAACAAUGCUCCACAAAAAUAUUUCAGAAUUAUUGGACCUAUAUUUAUUUAACAGUAGAUAUAAGUCCAAUUCAAAUAGCUAUGAUUUAAAUUCAAAGUCCCAAAAAUAAAUCCUUAAAAAUGUUCAAUAUUUUGGUUGGGACCAGAACCCUUACCAAAAAUUAUCAAACAUUUAAGAAGAGCCUUUUGGAGCAAUGAAUGAGAUUUCUAGGGUUUUUGCCCCUCUUUUAUUUAAGUUUUUGAGGCUUCCAAAAUUCCCUCAGUUCAAAUUUUCAGAAUUUAAACAUGAUGCACACAUGAGCUAGCCUAGAGCACUACCAGCAGCUAGGGAUGUGACAACUCACCCCCACUAAACAAGAAUCUCGUCUCGAGAUUCAAGCGUAGGGUAAGAUGAAGGGGAAACGCAAACUAGUAUAAUCUUCACGAUCCAGGUUGCACUUCAUAGGAACGUUGAUUCGAUCACCAUCAUUGUCCUGUCGUCUUGCUCUGAGAACUCCAACUAGCAUGACGAGAAGAGGAAAGGAAAACUCUAGAAGAAUCUAUCUUCUCGAAGAUCAAUCAAUUUAGGAUCAGCUCACAAAGUGAGUCCUAGCAACAUCUCUUGAGCUGAGACACGAAGCAUACAUCUGAAGAGAUGGAGUGAGACAGAUGACGAGGGCUCGCUAAGUAGACAACAAUUUUCACACUUAAGACGGUGGUGAACGGUUGUCAACGUAGCGAGGAGUUGAGUUGCCAUGAUACCACGACGAAACAUCCUGGAGGAGGGUGAUUCGUAGAUUAUUUCCUUAGGUGGCAAAAAGAAUUACCUUGGAUUCAGAGAUCAUUGAAAACCUUUAUACCAGCCUAAGGCAAUUCUCAAGCGAUCGUUUGGAGGGGGUCAGUAGAAUGGCAUACUCGGACUUGGGUGAUGUGGAUUACCUUGUUGAAGACAACGCAAUGGAUGAAUUUGCUUAUCACCGGAAAUGGAAGAGACCCAUGGUAGAAUGGCACAUUGGUGGUGCAAGCUGGGAACAAAAUGCAAAUGCUGGGAAUGAUUCUGGUAACUGGGGAAGAACCCCACAAUAGGGAGUGAAUUCACUGUUUGAAAGGUCAUAGCAUUGUCGAGGAAACUGAGAGCAAACCCAGUUAGCGCCGAUGAUAACACGUAGCGCUUGGGCGUGCUCUCAAGAACUUGAGCAUUUCCACAUUCAUCAAGGUUUUACCAAUAUCCGUGUCAAGGAUCCUGGCAACACAACCUACUACCAUGAUGAAUGGUGAUGGAGGAUGCAGAUGCAAAGGAAGAUAACACCUUCUCAAAUUUCACCCUUGGCGGGGCCAAGGAAAUAAAAUCUGGAUGAUCGACCGAGAGACAUUUAGCACUCCGCUUCUAAUGUUCUCCUUGAUGUGCUAGCGUAACCCAUUCAUAGAUAUGGUUUGAUAACUAGAACAUCAAGUAAAAGGUCGGACUUUGGGAGCAAUAGAAUCCAUAAGGAACAGUUACAGAGGUAAAUCCUACGAAAUCCUUAUGGGAAGGUGGCCAACUUCUUCAAUCAAGAUACUACAAUAAUAGGUCUUUCGGCUGGGUGUGUUGGCCACGACAUCCACCUUACCGGUUAUCGAGGGACCAAUAUUAUAGUUCUUGGGAAAUGUUCCAACCAUCAUAUCUGCCUGAGAUUCAGAUCUGGUUGGUGUCAGGAUAUUCCAGACUCAUCGAGUCUAGGAAGAAAAAUGAAAGUUUGCAACACAAAUCGACGAGAUGACGUUGCGGGAUUCUCGGGAGAAGAACUACGAUAGCAAGCUCCAAAACAUGAGCUGGUUCUGCUACAAAUAUGUGAACACGUUGUCCCAGACAAGCAUGCCCAUAUGGUAGUCUUACAAUAAAACACUAACGAGUUCUGGUUGGGAGCCAUCAGCGAGGAUAUCGAAGUUCUUUCAUAAGUCCGAAUUAGCUCUUAUGAAGGAACUCCUUCUCCUUGAACAAAUCAAUCAGUGGCUUGGUGUGCUAGGAUAUACAUAUAGAAUGGAGGUUGCAAAUCUCCAGACCACAGAAUACUUCGCACGUAUGCAUGACUGACUUGGGAUGAUUCCAGAGGAAGCAAAACUAACUUUCUCAAAUUCACGGCGGCAACUUCCACCAAAUGCACGUGUAUAAGAGGAAGUCACUCCUUUCAUCAAACAAUUACUUCAUGAGCUAGCAUGAAGAAAAUGCCUUCAAAAGUUUCCAACACUAGCUUAAUGUUCAACAAAAUCAUGGAGGAGAUAAGGAUGUUGUCAAUGGGCUCAACAACAAUUCUUUCGGGUUUCCUUUUAAAAGGAAUUCCAUAGUUAAGUGAACAAGUGAUAGCAUUGGUCAGACCCAAAAGAUAUAAUGGUGUAUGCUCGAGGGAUCAACCACGAGUAAGACAACAUUACGAAUAUCGUUGGUUCUGGUCUGAUUGGAUGAUAGCCCAUACUCCAAUCAAAGGUUAGAUAAAAAUGAUAGGUCCAGCAACUGAUCACAGGGACCAAUCGAUGAAGAUAUCAUCUUUCUUCAACACACACUACACAAGAUUAUCCCUUUGGAACGAACUAAGUCAGGCAAGCUUUUAUCUUCCAACCCUCCAAGUUGUCGUUUAGCUUAACCAACUAGCUCAGGGAUAUCUAACACCGAUUCUUGGAGAGAAGGUGGAUCACAAUAAACCAACUUGAUCACGAGCUCAACAUAGCGGUCAGGUGACAACCUGGUAAUACUUCUGAGAAGAUCUUCGGAAAUCACGAACCACCGAUAUGUUACUAAGCUCGAGAACAAUCUCGCUUUUGAGGGCAAGACGAUAUGAUCAAAUGAGUGAGGACUUGACAAGAUCCUAACUCAUCAAUCAAAGGGUGCACCGAAAUAGGGACUAGGUAGCACAAUCAGUCUUAGGGUGACGAUUCAACAAUCAACACGCUAAGAACGAGGUUAUCGUCCAUUUAACUACCAAGCAUUAGAGUUGCUAGCAGUAUUGACUUUAUACACCAUAAUUCAUUUGUCGGCAUUCCGGUUACAAUAACACAGGAUCCGAGGAAUGAACAAUGAUGGCAAGAAGUAUCACUGUACCAAGAGUUCAUAGGAUGGCGUGCAAUUCCUAUAACAAUCUCGAUAUAAAAUAAGGUAAUACUCCAAGGUAGAACAGAACAAAAGCUGGAUUAGCAAUUUGAUCUGCGAAGCACAGCUUCUUUGACCCAAUCCUGGAUAUGGAAGAGGUACUGGAGUUUGUUUCUCCUAGUCAUUCCGGAAUAGAAUGGCUUGACAGACCACAAGAGUCAUAGGCAUCGAUGAACGAACGCACGCAUACUCUUGACUAUCAAUUGAUAGACGAGGGUCAGAAUGCAACUAAAGAGAACAACUCAAAGGAACAUACAAUUUUCUGAGUUGUGGAUGCAUGGAUUAGUAUGUCGAACGAGUUCGACAUAUUUCUUCCGGAUAACCCACGCAGAAAGGUAGAACAGACAGAGUCACAAUAUAUAAUGGAGAACUCAUCAAGAGCACUCUUGUUGUCAUCUUUUGGUUCAGAAGAACUCCUGCCAAGAAUGGUUCAUGGUAAUUGGAAGAAGGAUGUACCACGAACCUCGAGGACUAUCGCAAAGUUACUAAUAUCCUGAAGGAACUAGCAAACACUAUCAACAUGAAGUAAGUAGAGUGAAUCUCGGGUUCAAGAACCCAGGAACAGAAUACCUAUUACUAAGUAGCAUCACGGGAUGCUUUCGAGGAUAAAGGCCAGAAUCAUCACACUGGGACACCAAUCAUGGCUAAAUUACUAGAUGAUCCCCUAAGACACCUAGGGUCAUAGUAAUAACUCCAACAUAAAGGUCGAGGCAGUAGAGUACCUCGACUCAACAAUUAGUGUGAUUGAGCUGGCAUAAAGGAACAUCGAAACCAGAGGGAAAGGAUUUUGCAAAUGCAUCAGACUAUUUAGAAACCUGGGAUGACUCGGACAGCAUAACGGUUGUAAAUGCUCAGAAAAGAUUUGAGACAUUCACAAAAGGGUGGCAUAGCCACUCAGAAGCACAAUAUCAAGGUCUCGAGAUCAAUAAUUAACAUACAGAGGUAGAAACUGAACUGAGGCUUAAUUCCAACAAUUCUAUAAGUCUACUGAUUAGUAACACGUGAUCCUAAUAGAAAGAAGAGAUAGCCUAGUUCUUAACCCCGUAGGAAAGAAGAUGAUGACUCAGAUCAGAAGGCCAUGAGGUAUAAGGAGUAAAAAGAGCCUUACGUUCCAUCCCACAAUCAAUUCCCUUAUAUAACUAAAGAAUUUCUAGGCUCAACUUCGACCAGUUUGGCUUGGUAAUCCUACAGGCAGUCAAGCUCUGAUACCAACACUGUCAGGACCCCGACUCAAUGCCACAUUGAUCUAGCAUGUAACACCUCAUAUCACUUUGCGGCCUCACGCACGGUAUUCCCACGGGUGUCGCCUUACCUUAGCCCGGGACCGUUUGCGCCUUUUGGCACACGUAUAUGACAGUGUCGCUAGCAUCCAUAUGAUAAGGAGCCCGGGCUGACAUGGCUAGUCGUAAACCCAAAGUGGCACAGACUUACAGGGACAGGCAUCCAUGACCCAGCAUCGAACGUGUCGGUCAUCAGCGAGUGAAUCCAGGCUGUAGCACUGGGCUAGCAGGACUCCGGUGAACCGGGCUGUAGCAGGCUAACAGGACUCCGGUAUUCAUCGCGUGACAUUUCCCCGAAGGGACAGACACAGGAACGAAGAAGGACACAUGCCGGCCAGCCUAAGUGUUCCAGAGCAGUAGCAAGCUACCAUGGCUCGGUGGAAACACUAGGAGACAUUUCCCGGUAAGAGAGGCUACUAAAGAUAAACAACUAGAUAGUCAGAUCCCACACAUACCAAGCAUUUCAAUAACAUACACACAAUAUGCUCGAUAUGUGCAAUACAACAUGGCAUCACAAAAUGACUCUACGACUCAAGUAAUUUAUUCAAUAGGCUCCGAGGAGCGAGAUAUUACAAACAUGGGUCUCAUGACCCAACAAUCAGAGCAUACAAAUCAAAGCACAAGCGGAAGCUAUCAUGUCUGAGUACAGACAUCUAUAAAUGAAAAAGGCUGAGAAGCCUGACUAUCUAUCAGAUCCUGCCGAGGGCACAAGAUCGUAGCUGAGGUAUCAAGCUAAACGUCGAAGUCCACGCGGAACUACUAGUGAGACUGAAGUCUCUCUGCAAAACAUAAAAUAGGCAAACGUGAGUACAAAUGUACCCAGCAAGACUUACAUCAGAUCUAUCUACAUAUGCAUCAUUGUCAACAAGGGGGUGGAGGGGUUUGACUGCAGCAAGCCAGCUUUGACUCGGUGGCUAUCCUGAACUACGACUGCAAGUAACUCUUUUGAGGUGGCGCACACGAGUCCACAUAUUCACCAACCAAUACACCACUAUGGAUCCGCUCCCGUCUCCCUACGAGAACGCCAUCCAUAGCACUCACGCUUAUCUUGCGUAUUUUAGGGUAUCCACUUUCACUUGUCUAUGAAUUGAUAUAAGCAACCCAGAAGUCCUUUACCGCGGACACGGCUAUUCGAAUAGAUGAUGUUAACCCUGCAGGGGUGUACUUCUUCAUACAUGUUUCCACCACUUAGCGUCUGCACACGACAUGUGCUCGGCAGACUUCAAGCGAAAGCCGACGUGGGUGUAGACCAUGACCUACCUAAACACUCAAGUCUCUAGUCCAGGUUUAUCGCCUAUUCGGGUUCCAUCCAUGAGGAGAUCCGGCCGGAGUUUCGCUCACAGCCCCAAACGAUGUGAACAGGGUUCCGUGACACCAAACGGGCGCCCGGUAUACCCGGCCACGUGCCUACCGCAUCACAGCCCACCCCUACGGUCAGCGCUGUCCACGGCCUCCAGCAUACUACAAACACCAGAAACUACUUGCAACUCCUGGACAGAGGACAAGGGUGAAUAAGAAGUCAAGCGGGGUCAUAUUUCAGGGCCCAAUGUAUGGUAGUAGCUGAAUCAUGGAUCACAAACACAGAACUCAGUUCCUGAGGACGGCUACAAUGAGACAACCCACCAUGUACUCCUACAUGGCCUCUCACCGCUACCUUUACCAAAUCGUGUUCACACACUUAGCUCACACACAGUAGGACAUGUUCACACGCCUCUGAUUCAUCCCCGAUGAAUCAGACCUGACUCAACUCUAAGCAGUAGCAGGCAUGACAAACAAACAUGAAUGAGUAGGCACAACAGGGCUCAAACAACUCCUACUCAUACUAGUGGGUUUCAUCUAUUUACUGUGGAAUGACAGGUCAUGCAAAGGAUAAAGGGGUUCAGCUACCGCAGCAGGUAACAGAUGAAUCGUUGUUGUCCUAAUGCAGUAAAAGAGAGCAGGAGCGAGAGAGUGGGAUUGUAUCGGAAUGAACAAGGGGGUUUUGCUUGCCUGGCACUUCUGAAGAUAACAUUGAGUCUUCAUCAGUGUCAACGAUCACGUCAUCGGUAUCACGUCUAUCGAGAGGGGACAAAUACCGGCAACACAGAAAGGAACACAAUCAAUGCAAUGCACAAUAUGAUGCAUGAUCAUGACAUGGCAAAAUGAAUGUGUUUUGAGCUAAUGCAACUAAAACCAGAUUAAAUGAAGUUGGUUUGAAUCCAAGAUUCAAAUUCAAACUCCAUAUGUGAUUAUUUAAAUGCCCUUUAAUUGAUUUGUGCUAAACAGCAGCUAUAAGUUGUUCUAACAUGCAUGAAAAUGGUACAGAUGGAUUCCUUGAAUUUUUCUGAUAAUUUUUCAUAUAUAAUUUAUUAAAUUUGGAGUUACGGUUAAUUUUCUAUGAAUUUUGGAAGUUUUAGUCAUUUUCUGGAAUUUAUAAAUCAUUUAGGAUUUAUUUAAAUUCUAGAACAAAUACUGCGUCAGCAUGACGUAAUAGUGACGUCAGCAGGGUCAACCGAGCGCCCCAGGUCAAACCUGACGUGUGGGGUCCACACGUCAGUGACACAGGGACUAAUCCCGCGUUGACCCGGGCUGGUUAGCUUUGACUAAGCCCUGGGGCCCACUUGUCAGCGUCAGUAGGUGGGGGGGUUAGUGACUAAUUAACUAAGCCACGUCGACUUCGCCGGAGUUCGGCCGGCGACGACCAAAACUGCGGCGGGAGCUCGCCGGAGUGGCGCUGCGAGGGGUUUUGGGCCAAGCCAAGGGCACCAGAGGGUAGCCCGUGCCCGUGCGCAUCUAGGGGGGCCAUCGGGAGGUGCGGGGGUGGCCGGAGCUCGCCGGAGUGGGGGCCGCAGCGGCUGCCGGAGCUCGGGUUUGGGCGGAGCGAGGUUACGGGGCGCUAGGGGGCUGGCUGAGGGGCUAUGCGGACUCCUGGGGCAGCUAGGAGCACGCUAGGCUCGUCGGUCUGGCCGCAGCAGCACGUCAGUGCCAUGCCCGGCGUCCAUGGCGGACGGCGGCGCUCGGGAAUGUGGCCGGGGUGCUACGGCACGGAAACGAACAAAAUGGAGGAGGGGAAACGGAGUGGAGCUCACAGGGAUCACGCAGGGAGGGUCAGCGAGCUCGGGGGCGCGCCAGAGUGGCCGAAUUCGACGGAGAAGAUCCUCGGCGGCCGGCGAGGGGGAAAACGUCGGGGGCGGCGUUCCGGGGCUCUUCUGGUCGCGUGAGACGACGAGGAGGACGAGGGAGGACUUGCGGAGCUCUGGGAGGCGUCGGGGAGGCGAGAGGAGCACGGUGGCUGCGGCAAUCGGCGUCGGUGGCGGCGGUGGUUCUCGGGUGAGAGGGAGAGAGAGCAGGGGAAGAAGGGGAGGGCGAGGGAGAGUGAGAGCGGUGCGGGGCAGCUGCGUGGCUUCGUCCGGGGCAUCAAGGGAGUCCGGGGGAAGCAGGAGGUGGCCAGCAGGGGGGAGGUGGCGCGCGCGCGUGCCGGCGAGCGUCGGGCACACGCCCUCGUCCUCCUGUCCAGGGAGGAAGACGACAGGGAGGCUGUGGUGGUGGGCUGGGCCAGCGGGAGGAGCUGGGCCGGGCAGGUAAGCAGGUAAGUGGCCCAGGUGGCCGUCUCCCUUUUUAUUUUUGCUCUGUUUUAUUUUUUAAUCAUUGUUUUCUAUUUGUUUCAUCUGUUUUGAUUUAGUUCAAACACUAAAUCAUUUUUGUUUCUUCCAAUAAUUUUUGCAGGGACUGAAAGUAAUAUUCCAGAGCCCCUCACAAAAUAUCAGAAUUAUUGAAGCAUUAAAAAUAUAUAUAACAUAUAUUUGCUCCAACUCAAAUACAAUAUAUAUUAGUUCAAAGAUCCAAAAUGACAUGGAAAAAUGUGCAUCAUCUCUGGUUACUGUUUCCAGCAUUUUUCCAAAAAUGAUGAACAUUUUUGAAAGCCACUUGGAUUGACUGAAAAUAUUUUAGGUGAACCUGGUGAAUUCUUAAAAUGCUAGGGUUUGGACAAUCCCCAUUUCAACUUUCUGUAAAAGUAAACAUGAUGCAUCACCAAAGGCUAGUACUAGUGCAAUGCCAGAAGCUAGGGAUGUGACAAUAACUUUGCGGCCUCACACACGGUAUCUCCACGGGUGUCGUCUUACCUUUUCCCGGGACCGUUUGCGCCUUUUGGCUCACGUAUAUGAUAGUGUCGCUAGCAUCCAUAUGAUAAGGAGCCCGGGCUGACAUGACUAGUCGUAAACCCAAAGUGGCACAGACUUACAGGGACAGGCAUCCAUGACCCAGCUUCGAACGUGUCGGUCAUCAGCAAGUGGGUCCGGGCUGUAGCACUGGGCUAGCAGGACUCCGGUAAACCGGGCUGUAGCGGGCUAACAGGACUCCGGUACUCAAAGCGUGACAUUUCCCCGAAGGGACAGACACAGGAACGAAGAAGGACACAUGCCGGCCAGCCUAAGUGUUCCAGAGCAGUAGCAAGCUACCAUGGCUCAGCGGUAACACUAGGAGACAUUUCCCGGUAAGAGAGGCUACUAAAGAUAAACAACUAGAUAGUCAGAUCCCACACAUACCAAGCAUUUCAAUAACAUACACACAAUAUGCUCGAUAUGUGCAAUACAACAUGGCAUCACAAAAUGACUCUACGACUCAAGUAGUUUAUUCAAUAGGCUCCGAGGAGCGAGACAUUACAAACAUGGGUCUCAUGACCAACAAUCAGAGCAUACAAGUCAAAGCACAAGCGGAAGCUAUCAUGUCUGAGUACAGACAUCUAUAAAUGAAAAAGGCUGAGAAGCCUAACUAUCUAUCAGAUCUUGCCGAGGGCACAAGAUCGUAGCUGAGGUAUCAAGCUAAACGUCGAAGUCCAAGCGGAACUACUAGUGAGACUGAAGUCUCUCUGCAAAACAUAAAAUGGGCAAACGUGAGUACAAAUGUACCCAGCAAGACUUACAUCAGAACUAACUACAUAUGCAUCAUUAUCAACAAAGGGAUGGUGGGGUUUAACUGCAGCAAGCCAGCUUUGACUCGGUGGCUAUCCUGAACUACGACUGCAAUGUAACUCUUUUGAGGUGGCGCACACGAGUCCACAUAUUCACCAUAUCAAUACACCACUAUGGAACCGCUCCCGUUUCCCUACGAGAACGCCAUCCAUAGCACUCACGCUUAUCUUGCGUAUUUUAGGGUAUCCACUUUCACUUGUCUAUGAACUGAUAUAAGCAACCCAGAAGUCCUUUACCGCGGACACGGCUAUUCGAAUAGAUGAUGUUAACCCUGCAGGGGUGUACUUCUUCAUACAUGUUUCCACCACUUAGCGUCUGCACACGACAUGUGCUCGGCAGACUUCAAGCGAAAGCCGACGUGGGUGUAGACCACGACCUACCUAAACACUCAAGUCUCUAGUCCAGGUUUAUCGCCUAUUCGGGUUCCAUCCAUGAGGAGAUCCGGCCGGAGUUUCGCUCACAGCCCCAAACGAUGUGAACAGGGUUCCGUGACACCAAACGGGCGCCCGAUUUACCCGGCCACGUGCCUACCGCAUCACAGCCCACCCCUACGGUCAGCGCUGUCCACGGCCUCCAGCAUACUACAAACACCAGAAACUACUUGCAACUCCUGGACAGAGGACAAGGGUGAAUAAGAAGUCGAGCGGGGUCAUAUUUCAGGGCCCAAUGUAUGGUAGUAGCUGAAUCAUGGAUCACAAACACAGAACUCAGUUCCUGAGGACGGCUUCAAUGAGACAACCCACCAUGUACUCCUACAUGGCCUCUCACCGACACCUUUUACCAAAUCGUGUUCACACACUUAGCUCACACACAGUAGGACAUGUUCACCCGCCUCUGAUUCAUCCCCGAUGAAUCAGACCCGACUCAACUCUAAGCAGUAGCAGGCAUGACAAACAAGCAUGAAUGAGUAGGCACAACAGGGCUCAAACAACUCCUACUCAUGCUAGUGGGUUUCAUCUAUUUACUGUGGCAAUGACAGGUCAUGCAAAGGAUAAAAGGGGUUCAGCUACCGUAGCAAGUAACAGAUGAAUCGGUGUUGUCCUAAUGCAUUAAAAGAGAGCAGGAGCGAGAGAGUAGGAUUGUAUCGGAAUGAACAAGGGGGUUUUGCUUGCCUGGCACUUCUGAAGAUAACAUUGAGUCUUCAUCAGUGUCAAUGAUCACAUCAUCGGUAUCACGUCUAUCGAGAGGGGACAAUACCGGCAACACAGAAGGGAACACAAUCAAUGCAAUGCACAAUAUGAUGCAUGCUCAUGACAUGGCAAUAUGGAUGUGUUUUGAGCUAAUGCAACUAGCAACAGAUUAAAUGAAGUUGGUUUGAAUACAAGAUUCAAAUUCAAACUCCAUAUGUGAUUAUUUAAAUGCCCUUUAUUUGUUUUGUGCUAAACAGCAUCUAUAAGUUGUUCUAACAUGCAUGAAAAUGGUACAGAUGGAUUCCUUGAAUUUUUCUGAUAAUUUUUCAUAUAUAAAUUAUUUAAUUUGGAGUUACGGUUAAUUUUCUAUGAUUUUUAGAAGUUUUAGGUAUUUUCUGGAAUUUUCUGAUUUAUUUUAAAUCCAGAAAAUCAUUUAAUGCGUCAGCAUGACAUCGUCUUGACGUCAGCAGGUCAACAGGGCGCCUCCAGGUCAAACCUGACAUGUGGGGGCCACACGUCAGUGACACAGGGUUGUUUAACCCACUGACAGGUGGGGCCGGGUCAAAGGCCACGUCAGCACGGUCAAGCUGACGCGUGGGGCCACUGUGAUUAAUCUAAACUAACAGAAGUUUAAGCCGUGGUUAAUUAAGGGCGUGGGGCCACUGUCAGUGUCACAAAGCGGUGGUUAGUGGCUAAUUAAGCCAGCCACGUCACUGGCCACCGGAGUUCGGCCGGCGGCGACCCGGAACGCGGCGGAAAUUCACCGGGGUUGCGCUACGGGCGACGGCUGGACGCGCGAAGGGCACCAGAAGGUAGCCCGUGCCCGUGCACAUCUAGGGGGGCCAACGGGAGGUGCGGGGGUGGCCGGGGUUCGCCGGAAUGGAGCCCGAGGCGGCGGCCGAAGCUCGGGUGGGUGCGGAGUUAGCGCUGCGGCUUGCAAACAAGCUAGCUGCCACGCUAGCGUUGCUCCACGGGUCGUUGCGAGUGCAACGGACGCACGCGCGGGGCCAUUUGGUCACCGGGGCUUCACCGGCGACGAGCCCGUGCGGCGGAGCGUCUCGGCUCCGGUGGAGGGAGCGGCUAGGGGGUGAAUUAAGCAACGAGGCAUGGGGGAAACGAUGCAGCGGCUCAUCGCGGUUCUUCUGGUGCUGCUGGCGAGGCAGGGGAGGCACGAGGUCCGGCGAAUCGACGGAGGGGAGCUUCGGUGGCCGGCGACGGAACGGCGAUGGUGGCGGCGUUGCAGGGCUUCCGGAGGGCCGUGGGUCGGUGGGGAGGAAGGAGGGGGUCGAGGCGGAGCUCCCUGGGCGUCGGUGAGGCGUGGGGAGCACGGUGGCUGCGGCAAUCGGCGUCGGUGGCGGCGGCUCCGCUCGGGUCCGAGGUGCGGAGCGAGAGGGAGAGCAGGAGAAGGGGAUGAGCACGGGAGGGAGUUGAGGGAGGCCUGAGGGGGUGCGUGGCAUCCUUAGCCGAUCCGGGGCGGGGCGGCAAGCAGGAGGUGGCUCGGGCGCGUGCGCGCGCGCUCCGGCCACGCGCCUCUGUCCUACUGUCCCGAGGAGGAAGACGACAGGGAGGGCGCUGGUGGGCUGGGCCGGCCAGGGGGGGGGGAGCUGGGCCGGCUGGUGGGCUGCGCGGGUGAGGCCAGGUAGGCUUUACUCUUUUUAUUUUUUUUCUCUCUGUUUUGUUUUAACUCUGUUUUCUAUUUUGCAGGUUUGUUUUGAAUUUGGUUUUGAAACCAAUUCAAUUUAUUUUGCUUCUGACAAUAUUUUUAGGAGCUAAAAGAAUUAAAACAAUGCUCCACAAAAAUAUUUCAGAAUUAUUGGACCUAUAUUUAUUUAACAGUAGAUAUAAGUCCAAUUCAAAUAGCUAUGAUUUAAAUUCAAAGUCCCAAAAAUAAAUCCUUAAAAAUGUUCAAUAUUUUGGUUGGGACCAGAACCCUUACCAAAAAUUAUCAAACAUUUAAGAAGAGCCUUUUGGAGCAAUGAAUGAGAUUUCUAGGGUUUUUGCCCCUCUUUUAUUUAAGUUUUUGAGGCUUCCAAAAUUCCCUCAGUUCAAAUUUUCAGAAUUUAAACAUGAUGCACACAUGAGCUAGCCUAGAGCACUACCAGCAGCUAGGGAUGUGACACUAAGGACAUCUGCCGUGACAAUUCCACGAUAGUUGGCACCCACCGUGGGGCAUGCGCACGGUGGUGUUGAGUUCUUGAAGGGAUCUCUUCUAGGGUUUCAAGAAGUCCGCAAGUUUCCGGAUGAAGAAAAGCCGGUUUGGAAGGAGCUGGGUCAGCCUCAAGUCAUCAGUCCAGUUUAUAGUUUAUGCGAGAUUAAUUCAACGGAAAUUAGGGUUCUGUCAUGUGCGCCACCGCAUGCAAGUUUUCGGUGCAUUGAUCCAAGGACAACAGAUACAACUGCAAAGGAAUAUUUGAGGCAGUACACGCGUGGAUGAAGCCAGGGACUCGUCUCCGCGUCUGGUUCUAAAUUGCCGAAACGCUCCCUCUCGGUCUCGGCUGAGAAGCCGCCGUCUCCGAGACGCGGCCGCCCGGGCCAGCUGCAGCCCAAGCCGGCCACGACCUGUGGCUGGUCUGGACCCCGCCUCCCAUCCGGGUCGCUGCCAAACCCCGUCUCCCGUCCGAGUCGCUGUCUCACUUUGCCUCCCUGAGCCGCACUUGUCGCGUCGGGGUACAUCUACAUCAAUCGAUCAAGUUGCCAACGCUAGCUGCUCCAUUAUAAUAUUUUUUCUACUUGGAGGCCUGGACUUGUUCAUCUGCCGGAUUGGCUCUGUGUCUGAAACGCUCUCCUCGUGGAUCCCCGAGCCGUACAAGCUGGAGCUGCCGCGCGCCACUACUACUGCUUCAAGAACAACAAGACGCUCCACGUGAAGAGCAAGAAAGAAAAUACUGGCAUGCAUCUACACUGUGUACAUGUCACGUGCAGCUAAAAAAAAGGAGGCUAACUACUGCUUCGUCUUCAAGUGCUACCUCUCACGAAGAGGUCAAGAGCCACUAUCAAGAUAGAAAAAGAGGGAAGAAGUGCUGGUGACUCAUAUAUCUAAGUUAAUUCCUACCCUGUGUACGGAUCAUCUGUCGUCCAGAUGAAUCAGGUGAUAUCCGUCCAGUUUAUUUCAGCACAUAUUAAUUUUUGUGUGAACAAUUACUUUGCCUUGCGAUAUUUUUGAUGCAGGACAAUUGUUCAUUACUAAUGAGGUAUUAUAUUACGGGUACGGAGCACGCGAUAGCAGCGUUCUGCACCGGCGUUUCGUCUGUGUCAUACCACCCGGUGAAUGAACAUGCACAAGUCACCACCCUUGUGGCCCGGUUUACGUCAGCUCGUUGGGACCAUGCUUGAGAUCGACUCACCGUCCACGCGGCUUACUGCGCCUACAAUUGACUCACCCGUCCCUGCCGGCUUACAACGCCGCGCCCGGCUCAUCUGUCUGCUCCCACGGCCGACUCACUCGUGAGUGAUUUCAACUUAACCUAGUGAUCAUCAACUUCAUGGCGGAUUAUUUCUGGCCUGGCACAUCAGGUGAUAUCCAUUUUAAAUAUAUUUUAUUGGCACAUAUUAUUUUUGUCAAAAAGCAGUUUAUCUUUGCCUUGGUCUGCAAUAUUGUUGAUGCAGGACAAUUGUUCACUACAUCAAAAUGACGUGAUUAACUCGCCCGUCCGUGCCGGUUUACGACACUGGUGCCGAUCUUCCCCGUCCGCACCGGUUUACAAUGCCACGGCCGACUCAUCUAUCCGAGCUGCCUCUGAUGUUGCGGUUGUUUUUGUCGUCCGUCUCUCGCGGCCUGGUCUACAUCAACAUACCGGGCCGCACCUGUCUGCAUGAGCUGUUUAUUGAGUAUGAGCAAGUCACAGCUUGGGUAGCCCAGUUUUCUUUCAACAAAAAGGAGGCAAAUUAUCAUAUACUAUCAAUCGCCGUUUGCACUGGAUGGCUCAAUGGGCAGGCGCACAAGUCGCCGCCACUACAGUUUGGUUAACUUCAAAUCGCCAGUUGGAAGGAACCAUUGGCCGAGUUGCUGACACGGCUCAUACGAGAUCAUUUAUAACCCGCCGCAGUCACCUCAACCUUCUGUGGAUUUACAUCGUGCUAUCAACACCAAUGAUAUACAAGUUAUGUCGGUUUAUAUCAUGGUCAAAUAUGAAGAGUUUCAAGCCAACUCCUCGAGUCACCUUGAGACUCGGGGGCUACGAUGACAUGACUCAGCAAAUCUUGCUAGUUUCAGCAAAUUUAAGAACCCCAGGACGAUGGAGGGAAAGAUAACCCGGUCCAGGAGGCUACUGUUAUUUGAAGGCCGUCAGAAAAUUUCCGGCUUAGAAAGUAUAUGACAGUUACAAAAUCCCGGCUCAAUGAAGAAGAUCUGGGUCAUCAGAAAGGAUUCCGGUUUAAAAUCCGGCUCAAGGGAAGUCAGUCUCAUUGAAGCUCUCAAAUAUCUGGUUUACAAUCCGGUUCAAGGGAAAUCUGUUCUCCCACAAAGCUCUGAAGCGCCCAAAUCCGGUUUAACAAUGUCCGGUUCAAAAAGGAAUUAACUUCUCGCAAGUUCGAGUUUAAAGGCCGUCAGAAAAUUUCCGGCUGAAAAUGAAGAUUCCGGUUUAAAAUCCGGGUCAAGGGAAAUAUGUCUCCCACAAAGCUUUGAAGCUCUCAAUAUCCGGUUCAAGAUCUCGGUUCAAGAAGAAUUUAUCUCUUGCAAAAAAGUUAAAAAUUACCGAAGAGGACCUGUUGCCAUGAUGCGCGGUUCAAACAUGGGUAUCCUGCCUUAUUGGCCUAACAUAUUAUUGAUCACAUGGGUUCUUCUGCUUCAUAAAGCGGGGUCUCUGUUCUUUUUUACAUCAUGUGUGGUUACACGGAGGUUCUGUCUUAAAGCGGCCUCCGGUUUACCUCUUGGGUUAGCUUUUCAAAGCACCAUGUUAUGUCACUUGGGGGCUUGGUCGUGUCUGAACCAAUGCAACACCUCUUGAUAGGCGAAAGCCACCAGAUCACUUGGGGACAUGGUCAAGUCUGAACCAGUCACGCCUCUUGAUCGGCCUAAGGCCACAGAGUCACUUGGGGGCUUGGUCGAACCCGAACCAUUGCCACGCCACUUGAUCGGCGUAAUGCCACGGUUUCAGUUGGGGACAUGGCUGACUUGAACCAUAGCUACACCUAUUGGGAGCUUGGUCGUGUCCGACCAUGGUAACACCAUCUGAUCGGCUCAGUAAAGCCUCCUUUUUUGCAAACGGUUUUAUCAUUGCCUUUGCUUCCAUAUUUUUUUUCAUAACUGUUAUUCGAUUUUUGUUGCGACAAUGUUUUAAUCCGGUUCAACUGUCAAUUACAAAUUGACGGAACACGGUCAAAUCUUAAUCCGGAGGCCAUCUGCCCGGUUUGAUUUUCUAUUACCAUCCUAUUAUGGAGUAAACCGGUGUUCAUUAACCCGGCUUGACUUUCAAUUACAAGUUGUCAAUACAGGAUCAAGUUAUAAUCCGAAGACUAUCAGCCCGGUCUGGUUUGACUACGAGUCGCUAGUAUUAUAUAUGGUUAAACCGGUGUUUAUCACAACCCGGUACGGUUUAUCAUCAACCGACACAGUAUGAAAGGAGUUAUCAUUACUCAAGAUUGGGGUUAUCACUCUUACUACAAAAAGUUGGUAAAACCAGCAACGUGAUUCAAUAUCACAGGUAUGAUAUAUUUCAUAUUUGAUUAUUCCUAAGUGCAACCUUGGUUAUAAACUCAGGUUAUAUGUUGGGCAUUAUGACCCGUCCGGCGGUAAACCGCCAGGACACUUUAAACUUGUUGUAUGCAGAAACAGGUUGAAUAAAUCAUGAUUAUAAAUCACUGACGUUUAUUAAACCGGCCUGGCUUUCGACUAUGUGUCGCCAGUAUGAUGAUAAAUUAUCCGGUGUUUGUUAAACCGGCCUGGCUUUAAGACGAUAAGUCGCUAGUAUAUGAUGAAAAAUUAUCCGGUGUUUAUUAAACCGGCCUGGCUUGGGACUAUAAGUCGCCAGUAUAUAUUUGGAUUGCGCCAUUGGAAUCAUGCGCUUAUAAAUCAUUGGGUUAUAUUAUUUAAAUAGCCAAACUUGGCUGAAUUUUCAUUAUGAUACUGAACGAAUAAGGUUUUCAUACCAGAUUAUAUUGUCUUGAAUAGCCAACAUGGCUGGAUUUUAUCAUGGUUAUUAAUAAUUGGUAUUAUUGAGGUUUAUAAAGUCGCUUUAGCACAAUGGCUAUCAUAUUAUCAAUAGAUAUGAUUUUUCUACAAUUGAAGGAAUAGUCCCGAGUUGCUGCAGGCUUACGACCCGACACUUGGGGGCUACAUUAUUUAAAGUUGCGAUUACAUCAAAUAUGCAAGUCUCAUGUCGCUGCAAGCAGGCACCAUGACACUUGGUGGCUCAUGCAAAGUAAUUUUUUGCUCAUAUUAUUGAAGACCCGACUCAUCACAUUAUAAUGAGUCGACCCUUGGGGGCUACCAAUUGCUCCUGUCAACAAUUGAAGGUACAAAGCUUUUUAUUCAAUAUAUUGAAGGGUCCACUGCUCAAUUAGUACAGCACAAGGCUCUUAACCUUGUGGACGUGGAUUCAAGUCCCAUGAUGGGGGUUACAUCAUAUGAUGUUAUUUUCAUUGAAGUAUAUAUCAAGUCCCAGCUCAAUAUUAUCUUACUGAGCCGGCUCUUGGGGGCUACACAUCAUUGCUCAAAUCUAUAUGAUUAUACCUACAAACUCCCUGCUUAUUAUUGCAUAAUGACCCGACACUUGGGGGCUACAUAAUAUGGAGUAUUCAGUUUUUACUAAGUGACUGGGAUGAACAACAUGGAUUUCUUCUUAAGUGGCAGUAUUUAUAUUGAAACAAGUCUUAAGCCAUCACUUUGUUCUACUCAAGACUUGGGGGCUACAGGUAUUACAUUAUUAUGGAAGAACUAUUUUCAAAUUCUCUGUUUUGAGCAAACCGGAUUGACCCGGCGUCACCAACCAUUACGACCUUGUGUCUGCAACCCGGCGUCAUCAAUAACAUGAACUGGCGUUGGCAACAAUCAUGACCCGAAAUUAUCAAUUUUUAUAACCUGGCAAUUUUGGUAAUAUUAAACCGGCAAGUUUUACAUCUUCAGACCGGCUGAACAUCAGUUGAAUAUUUGAAGACCAAUAUUUUUGUCAAGUCAGAGCAUUCAAGGCCGAUUCAAGAGGAUUCUUUAUUUACAAAAUAUUUUCUACAAGCAAAUUGGUUAUGAAACUGGUCUAUUGACUCGGAUUUUUUAGAAGGAAGAAAUGACAAGGAUUUAAGGAUGAUCAGGUGCCGGUUUACAAGAAUUUUUAACCCGGAGUACAACCUAUCAAAGUUGUUCUAGUGUUUAUUUUGCAGGAUCAGUUUAACAUGGAUAAAUCCAAAUUAAACUGGGGGCUAAUGUUGGGGAUAUACCGGCCGGAGUUAUGACCCGGCCGGACUUGGCGAUCCACCAGAAGACCCGGCUGGAGCGUGGUGACUCACUGGUGACCCGCCUGGAGCUUGGCGAUUCACAGAUAACCCGCCCAAUAUUGCCGACUCAUUAGUAACCCGGCGGGCGGGUCAGAUGGAAAACAAGGCCCAAAGCCCAGAAGGCCGGCUCACGUUAUGAUGGGCCGGCUUAAGAGGAAAGGGAUGACAAAUAUUUCCUUUAUGAGGAAGCAAGACCUGGACUUGUAUUUAACUUGUAAGAGAAGAUAGACUAGUCCUAGUCCUACUAGGACUCCACAUGUAACCCGCCCCUCUAACUUAUAUAAGGAGGGGCAGGGCUCCCCAAGGAGGGAACAAAAAACAAUAUCUAGAGCUAGACACAAAGGGGGAGCCGGCUUAUGCGGCGACUCUCGAUGAGCAUAAUGAGACCUAGCCUCAAACAGCAUGUAGGGCUAUUCCGGAUGAUGUUUCCCGGGGCCCGAAGCUGUCUAAAUCCUUGUCUUGUCUGUUGCGUCUCUCGUCCCGAUCAACCCCUCUCAAGCUACCGCAUAGAUGUGUUGGCCUCGCGACUAAGUCCUGACACUAAGGACAUCUGCCGUGACAAUUCCACGACAGGCUCCCGAAGGAGCUCUCGGGGACUACCCUAUUUUAUCUAUGUAUGUCGGGUAUCAUACCCAUGGUUACGCCACUACAUUCAUUUUCUUCGUCCGGCACCGGGUUCGACUAGUCGGCCCGGGGACUUGCUGCCUUGAGUUAUGUCCAAGUUCUACCUGCAGUCAGACAAGUAAUGUGCCUGUACCCAAGCCCUCUCUUGCGGAAGUCACAACUCGAAGAAUCGGCUAUCCGACUAGCAAGAGCCAAACGCGGAAAGGAUGCCCACAUGAAAAACGGCUAAGGACUAAUGAACCUACAUAACACAAGCUGGCACCCCUCUCGCCAACCGGCUGUCGAAGUAGCCGGCUGGCCGGCUUCCCUUCCUACUCUGCUACAAUCUAAAAGAGCUUGAGUACUUGCCUUCCCAGACGGCCGAACUCCUUACCCGGCCACAGACUGCAGAGAAGCUGUCCGGCUGGGAAGGCGGCAACCAAGGGAAGGCGGCAAAGGAAAAAAGCCGAAAGAUUAAAGGCAAGUAGGAAUGGAAGACAAACACAUGCAUAAUAAUAUUUAAACCAAAGGCCUUCGAGAGGUCGGCAUUCAACGAAGUUUGAAUACGCCCCCAGUGGGUGGAAUUGCGCAAAGAUAACAAAUCUGUUCAAAGAGUGACAAACAGGAAAGCAAAAACAGCGAAUCAAGCCAAGGGAGCGCCUGGAGCGUCAGGAAGAUUGGUGGAGACGGCGGUGUUGGCUGGAGGAGUGGCCGGCUGGCGAGUCUCGGCCUGGUCGUCGCCGGUGGCAGGCGGAGCAUUUGCGCGUGCCUCGUUGCUGGAGGCACGGUCAGGCUGAGGCUAGUCGGCUGCUUCGACAUUCGGCACAACGUCUUCGUCGUCUUCCUCCUCCUCCUCUUCACCCUCGUCGGUGGAGUCAAUCUCCUCCGCUGAGUCUUCACCGCCGGCCGGAUUCAGCCCGAACCAUUCCUCCGACUGCGCGACGCCGUCCUAGUUCACCUCAGGAGCAAAGGCGCUGGUGUUGGUGAAGUCGGCGAUCGCCGAGGCGUGCUGGAUGAUAGCCGGCCGCACCGCCUCCAGCUCCUCGUCAUCCUCCUGCCGCCAGGUGCGCAGCUGGUCCAAGUUCAGCCCAGGGUACCAAGCCCGGACGAACUCCAACGCCCGUCGGGCGCCAGACCGAGCUGCUGAAGCCUUCCAGGCCUCGAGACGGCCGACUGCCACCUCCAGCCAGUCGGCAGUACGGCUGGGGUGCGAGGAAUUACUUCGCCAGGCCAAAGGGCGGCCAGCACCUGUGCUCCGGCACGCUGAAGCCGGUGGAGCAUGCGGUAGGCCGGCUGGAGGCGGGCUUGGAUCGCCAGAAGCUGCUGCUCAAGUGACCGGUUGGCAUCCGGUGCGAUCUCAACCCCAUCCUGCCGCCGGGCCUCACGGUGAGCUUCGAUGGCUUGGUUGGCAGCGACGGAGUAGCCAGGAAAGUACUCUUCACAAAGAAGAAAGAAACAGAGCAAGUCAGGAGAUAAACUGGCUUACAAGGACAAGCAAAGAGUGAAGAAGAUGGCGGCCUACCAUCAACCAAAUCCUCGACUCGGCCGUAGCCUUCGCUCAGAGCUUGCCUUGCCUCGGCCCAGCUCGCUGCCUCGGUUUCGUAUUCGGCUUUGAGGCCAGCCUCGCUGUCCUGCACCGCCUCCAGGGCCGCCUUAUGGCUUACCUCCUGGUCGGCCAGUUUCUUGACCAGGCGGUCACGCUCCUGAGCCAAGGCGCUGAACUCGCCCUCCUUGGUGCGAAGGGCGGUCUGGGCCACACCCAGCUGCUGCCUUAAGUCGGCGCUGGCUCCUGCCAAUAUGGAAAGAAGAAAUUAAGAAAGAAGUCGGCAAGAAAGAUCUGACCCGACUGCUCGGCAGUCGUCCCGAAUCUCGGGGACUACACCCAGUGGGUGCGCUGACGCGCCCCCACAUGAGAUAGAAGGACAAAGACACUCACGCCGGUUCUCCGACAGGUCGGUGGCCUUUUGGUUCACCUCCCGGACCUGGAAGUUAAAGGUAGCAGCGUGGAGGUUGUGAUAAUCCUACAAACAGGAUGAAGAAGCAAGCAAGAGCAAGCCGUUAAAACAAAGUCUUUGAAGAAGUUCCAAGCCGCCUGCUCAGUAGCCGGCUCGGAACUCGGGGACUACACCAAGUGGGUGCGCUGACGCGCCCCCACGGAAGAAAUCUAGAGCAAGAAAACUCACCCGAACGACCGCCCGUGUCGCAAGAAACUCUCAGGUACAUUGCUGCAGCACGGUGGCCUGAGCCUGAAGCCGUCUACGGACAUCUUGCGCCGCCAAGUUCAACGCGGCUGUCCUUCCGCCCGACGUCCACCCUGGCGAGUUGGCGGUGGCCGACUCCAGAUCAUGCGACAACGAGCUGGAGCCGGCGGGCCCCUGCGGAUCCGACUCUGAAGUCGCCCUUCCCGCGCGCCGACGAGUCGGUGACAAAACCACAAGAUCCGUCCUCGCAGUCGGCUCUCCUCCAGCCGGCUGCUCAGCUGGCACCACUUCUCCCUCCGGGACGACUACGUCGCCCCCUCCCUCUCCAUCGCCGGCGGGUCACAGCCGAUUUCCUCCGACGGAGGCACCGAGAUGUCCGGGGCUGCGGAGCGGAGGGGGAUGACCAGCUGUGGAGGCUGAUUGCGCAGGGCCUCCGCCGCCCUCUCCGCAGCCUCGGCUUCCUACUAGGCCCUGGCUGCCGUGUCGGCCUGCGCCUCGGCCGAUUCCGCCGUCGUCUCCCGGGGCGACUCGGUGGCGGCCGCCCUCCACUCCUUCGCCUCCCGUUCCUCCCGCGCCUCCCGCGCGUUCCGCUCCGUCGCCGCCUGAAGCUCGGCGCGGGGGUCUAUGCGGCAGGAACCCGCAGAUCCUCCCGCUCCGCCGACUAUGGAGGCGGCGGUAGUCCGCUCAAGAGAGAGCGGGGCCCUGAUGACGAAACAGAGAAAGAACUUAGAAGAACAUCAACUAAAGAAAGAAAGAAAAGUGCGUAAGGACAAGAACUUACGCUGAGACCGCCUGCGGUUGCUUCACCACCUUGCGGAAGCGGGCCGCCUCGUCCCGCUUGGUAGCCGUCGCUGAUCCCUUGGGCUUCUUCGGACGGCCGCCGAAGAGAUUCGGUGCCGCCCGGCGCUUCUGCGCACCACCUCGUAUGGUCGGCCCGUCGGACGGGCCAGCGCCUUGGGAGUCCGUCGCCGGUUGGCGGCACGGAAUAGGAUCGGCCUCGUCAUCAUCGAGCUAGUCGUCAAAGCCGGCGGUGAAGCCGGAGCCGCCUGUCUCACCGCCUCCCCCAACAGCGUCGUCGUCCAGGGCUGCCGCCCCCAGGUCGGGGUCGUCAAGGUCGUCCGCCUCGCGGUCGGGGACGAUCUCGCGCUCCGGCCCCGUGGUCCCGGCCGAAGGAUGAAGAAGGGGGUUCUGUUUGAAGACGGGCCAACUGGUCAGAAGCCGACCGAAAAGAACUCGGCAACAAGAAAGGAAGAAAGGAAAGAGCAGGCUUACCACGAGCGGGGGGUUGGCGCGAGAGUAUGGUUCCUUGCCAUACUGCCACUCCUCGGUGAGCUUGCAGUUGGUGAUGUAGUUCACCAGAUAACAUACCUCGUCGUGAGGCAUCUCUUUGGUGCUGAGUCGGCUUGGAUCGAAGCGGCCGCUCAUCUGACAGAUCAGAUGAGGGCGGCCUUGGAGCGGGAGCACUCGGCGCUCGACGAAGGCGGCAAUCAAGUCAGGCCCAGUUAGGCGCUCCGACUGGAUCAGCACCCGAAGCCGGGCGACGGCUCCAGCUCCAGCCGGCGUUAGCUACCUAGCCCGGAAGGACCAUGAAGGUUGCCUCCCAGGCAGUGGGCCGGCUAUGUAAGCCGGCAAGUUGACGUAGUCCAUUCGGGGCAACGUUCUUCACGUAAAAGUAAGACCGUUGCCAGAGCUUCACCGACUGGAUCAGCGCGAUAGGAGGGAACAGAUUGUCGGUGGUGGACCUCCUCAUGGCGAUGAAGGCGCCACACGGAGCCGGCACGCCAGCAACGACCGUGCCGAGCUUGGAUUGAAAGAACUCCCCUAGAGCUUGAUGGUGGGGAGGACGCCGAGGAAACCUUCGCCCAAGGUGACGAAGGCCGACAACAGCACCACCGUGUUGGGGGUGAGGUGGUGCGGCUGGAGAUGAUAGAAGUCGAGAAAUGUGCGGAAGAAGCCGCUCGCGGGGAGGCCGACGCCGCGUAGGCAAUGCGAGUAGAAGAUCACUCGCUCGCCUUCCUCCGGCGCUGGCGAAACCUCCCUCGCUAGCGUGAGGCGGGCCCGUACAAGAUCUUUACCCGGCAGCCGCCGCGUCUUGUGGAGAAAAUCAAUGUGGUCAUCGCGGACGGUGCAGCCAUCCCAGGAGCUCGACGUCGGGGCCAUGACGGUGAACACGGCUGCGGAAAGCGCCCGGCACGGAGGCAGCGAGCUUGUGGCGUGCUUGAAAGAAGAGAGAGUGGCAGGGCGGAAGCACGGUGAAGCGCUACUGCAGAGAAGAAGAAGAGGGAGGGGACGGAGUAAGGGCGAGCGUGCGAACGACUGCCGCUCCCCCUCCCCGCCCCUACUUAUAGCCCCGUGCGGCGAAGCCGAGGAGGCGAGGCGCGAGGGGCCGUGGGAUUAACUGCGCCCACUCCCCCAUGACCCACGAUUAUCGCGCCUUUAUGGCGAGUGGGAACCACCGCCGGAAGACGUGCAGUCGGUUCAGGCCAUAGAGGAUCCGCGUGCGGGCCGAGGCAUGGAAGUGGUGGGCCCGGCCUGCGGCGGCGUCCCGUCACGCGUGUGGGCUGGCAGGCCCUUCCAGCCGAAGGGUGCCACAUGGCGUGCGGGUGGCGGGCGGUCAGCCCGCCGCCUGGCCAGCGCGCCAGCUGGUUCCCGCCUUCGGAUUUUGAGGAGGCGUCGCCGAGAAGGCAUGCGCAAGGGAGGCCGACUCCUAGCUGUCGGCUCUUCGGGAUAGGAAGCUGGCCGAGCUUCUCGAUUCCCCCUUCAGCCGCGAAGCCCAACCAGCUUCGGGGACUACUGUCGGAGUAAAUGACCACGGGUAGCCUAACCGGCUCCCUUUGGCCCUCAGAAAAAAACAAUGGGACGACCGAGCCCUGAAGCAACCAAGACACAGGGCCGCCUUCUUCCGGCCGGCUAUCACAUAGGCCUACUGGCGGAAGGCGGCCCGGCCAUAAAGAGCCUUUGGAGGAUGCCCCGAUAGGGCCGACUCCAAGAAGCCGGCCCCUGAAGGACCGACUCCAAGAAGCCGACCCCUGAGGGACCGACUCCAAGAAGCCGGCCCCUGGCAGACGGCCAUGGGCCGCGCCCUAAAAGUCCACCCUCCAUAACGGUGAUGGGACAGGGCGUGGCUACAGUGGCCCCUCCCACCCCUGAAUCCCGGAACACGCAUGGCUACAGUACGCCGUACAGGGCAGCCAUCUCCUGUCCGGCGAGGCACUGUUGCCAUACAGACUAUAACGCCAUCCAUGACGGGUCGCCAGUACGGCCCGCAGGCGGCGGGCCCCUUCGGUCAGAGAGACAUCCGAAGGCGGCCUGACCUCUCCCAGCCGGCCUGAGGCCGGGCCGGCUUCCUAUAGCCGGCUAGCUCCCCUCCUCGGGGCGUGCGCACCAUUAAGCAGAAAGGACGAAGUAAGGCUACAGUGAGAGCCCGCAAGGCAGCAGCACUGUAGCCAUGCUUACCUCGACAAAGCCCUCGUCAUCAUAGGCGAGGCAACAGUAACCAGCCCCCGACAAGACCCCCCCAAGCGGUGGGGCCGGCCUGUCGACCAAUGGGCCGCCAGCCGGCGGGACCCACCAGUCGGCGGGCCCUAGUAGCCGGCGGAGAAGCUGGCGGACGCAGACGCUGACGGCCUGGACCCACGACCAGCCAGAUUGCCAUUGUACCCCCGGGGGGUAGGCCUAUAUAAACCCCCCGGGACACCCAUGCAAAGGGUUGAUCUAAUAGAGUUUUAGACACCACCAUAGGGAGAGAAGAGAGCUAGCCUUGCCCUUCUCCUUCCCCCCACCGUACAGCUCAAGGAGCCUCUUGUAGCUUCUUACUGAUCUAGUGAUCAUGCGGAGACCCCGCAAAGCAGGAGAAGGGGUAUUAUCUCCACAGAGAGCCCCCAACCCGGGUAAGAUCCGCCGGCGUGCAUGUCUUUGCCUUAUCCCGUUUCCAGCCACCGGCGAUGUCUUACUGGCUCCCACAAUGAUAAGCCAUCCGUUGGCAUAUGUCGCACAUACCACCCGACAUUAUCCAUUUUCCCUGUCGAUCAUGCCCAUUGGGAUAUCACCCGCUCUGACCCAAAAAGGGAUAAACUUGAAUUGGUACUCCUCUAAAGUUUUGCUUGGUUUGAAAUUUUCUAAAUCCAACAAUGAUUUAUUAAACAUCCAGGGCCACAGUUAGAGCUUUCAUCCCCCCUCUUCUCUAAAGGUGAAUAGGAAUCUAUUCAUUCCCAAACCUUUACACUCUAUUCCUUUGAAUGGACACCAAAUCCAGCCCAGGGUGCUUACCAGGGAAUCCACUCUAUCCGGCCUGUUUGACAUUAGUUUUCCAACGGCUUGUGGCUUCUCAUUGAAUGAGGAACUGCUACUUCGUCUAUUGAUCUUUACCACUCUUCUUUCAGCUUCAUAUAGUUGCAAUGUCUUUAAUCCGGUCAACUCCUUCCAUCCUGAAGCUGGACUCUUUCCUUGGGAGAUGCAUGUGCAAAUCACCGCCUCCUUUGCGUGCCGCCUCCUGUGACACCCUACUCCACCUAUCCUCCGCCGCCAAACUCCUCCCAACUAGGAUUCUAGAAGAACUCAAAUGCAUGCCCUAGCUAGAACACAAAGGAUUUUGUUGGUGGAUGAAAAAGUGGGAAAGGAAAGAGAGAUUCUUGAGAGCUCUAUCAAUGGUUGAGAAGAGGAACCAGGCUCGUUGAGAAGCAGUAGCCUGCUAGAUCAAUACACUAGAUCUGUGAGAGCAUGAUUGAGAUUGAGAUUGGGAUAGAAUGGUGUGUGCACAUGAGGAUGAUUGAAGCUAGAAGGAAUCGAUCUCGUCCGAACUAGCCAGAACUCAGACCUCAGUUCGCUGGAGGGACCUAGAACCAUCACGAACAGGACGGACACCAUUAGCGCGAUGUUAGGGAGGAGGAACGUGGCAAGUUGUCCUCAGUUUCGACAGAGCAAACAGGGCAUACGUCAACAAUUUCAAGACCCUAGCAUGCUUGUUCUGCCAUGUGGGCAAGAAAUUAGUAGCCACUCUCCAGGCAAAGUUGCGGAGUGUAGGAGGUACAUCGCAUGACCAUAUUAGUUGCCAACACGAUCGACGCCCAUCUGGUCUAGUGCUUGACCCCGUCACCGAACUUCUAUGCGCCUCUUCAAAUGCAAAAGGAUGGCCGCUCUUAACAGAAAAGGUACCAUACUUCUCGGGGCCCCAAGCGAGCGUAUCAUCCUCAGCCAUGUCCGCCGGUUGGAAGUACCUUUGUAGCAACUCAUAGUUCCAUGAUCCAUUAUCAUUUAGGAAUUCUAACACAAAGCGAAUGCGGUAUUGCCACCUCUUGAUAUCCAGAAGCGAACGAACUAUCAGGGCACCGAGGAGGCCCCCUCGGUUCCACUGUAUAGAGACUAUUGAUCACACAUGUGGUUCCAUCACGAAGAAUGGCCUCAUUCUACGUCCUCCCAUUUUUUUUAAUCUCAUGACCUUUUAUGAGAUGACCAGAAAACGAAUGAAAUCAGAAAAUGGACGGAUGACUUACCAUGAGGUAGGAUUUUUACGUGAGCAGUCAGCACGGGUCCAUCCAUUUUAGAGAGAAGCUGGUGAGGCCAUUUUUGGGUAUUUAAAUAAACCACUUUAUCAAAAAAAAGGAUGAUAACAAGCAUACUGUCGUGGUCCUAAUACUGACAGUAGAAAGGGGGGUAGGUAUGGUGAGGCAAGAUCUCAGCUAUGGUGAAGGUGUACACACGAGAUUUACGAGUUCAGGCCCUUCUCGGUGGAAGUAACAGCCCUACGUCUCGGUGCCCGGAGGCGGUCGAUUGGAUUAUGCGUGUGGUAUUACAGGGAGUGACAACCCUUGUCCCAGAGGAGGGGGUGGCUUAUAUAGAGUGCGCUAGGACCCCAACCAUCCUCCAUUAUAAGGGGCUUAAUGUACAUAAAGUAAGGGCGUUACUGAUAAUGCCAGCCUUAAGUGCUAUUAAUGACCUUAAAUACUACGGAGUAAACUCCUGCCCGUUGCAAUGCUGAGUGACUCCUGGUCUUCGAUAGGUCGACUGAUUCUCUGGAUGGUCGAGUGACAGUAUGGGGGAGGACGUCCGAGUGACCUGACUGUUGAGUGGAUAGCACUCGACAUCUUUGCCUGGGGGCCUCCAGCUGUCUCUUGGACUCCUUAUCUUCUAGGGUAGUGACUUUGGGUAGGGCGUGUAGGUCUGGCCUAUGACCCUACCCCAGGUCUAUAUCCUCAUCAGUAGCCCCCGAAUGGAUUAAGGUUCGGCUGAAGUUGAACUUGUUCUGAGUUUUGCGCCUUCGCGAGUGUUUUCUGCAAAACGGAGAGCUCACGUUGGCACUUUGGUGUCGACUCAGCCGCCUUGAUCCAUUCAGGGAGUUGUCGAUUCAACUUGUGGCAUCAUGCGUCGAGUGCUUUAUUAGUGCGCAGGAUCUUGGGCGUGAUUGACUACUGCUUAUCCCGGAUUUCGCGGGAUGCAAAAUUUCGGGGAAGCGCGCGGGACGGGGAGUGCAGAAAUGGGCGGAGCGGAUAAAACAGCGAUGCCUUGAUUUCCGUGCCACCUUUUUCGCCACGUACGUUGUGUCCGACUGUUGCGGGAUUUGACAGGAUUGCCUGGUCCCACGCGUCAGUCACUCGGAAGCGACUCUUUAUAAGGCGACGGGGCCGAGGCGUCUGCACUGUGCAUGCCCGCUCCUCCUUCUUCUUCCUCUGUUUCUCCACCGCGCUCAGCUCUUCCACUCUCGAUGCCGCCGCUCCGCCGCCAUGGUGAAGGACAAGACGGCAGUGCUAGAGCGUGUGAAGAAGGCGACGGGGGCGGCAACAGGCAAAAAGAAGAGCCACGGGUCAUCUUCGCGCACGGGGCUGCCACCGGGCUGGAUCCAGGGCGAUUGGAUCCGGUCUUUGAUUCAGCAGGAGGAUCUGGACGAGCUGGCGGAGUCCGGCCUGAUCGCCAAGGGAGCGGCCAGGCUGCCGGAGGGGGAGAUGGAGCCUCAACCUCGAUCGGGUGAGUGUGUCCUACUCGCCACCCUCAUCGACCGGGGUUUCUCACUUCCUCCGCACCCCUUCUUCCGGGGAUUCCUGAAUUUCUUCGGUGCGCAACUCCACCACUUUUCUCCCAACACUAUCACGUAUCUGGCCGCAUUCGUAUCGAUGUGCGAGAACUUCUUAGGGUGUCGACCGCACUGGGGCCUUUUCAAACAUAUCUUCACCAUUCGCUCCCAGUCGGUCAAUAAAGCAAAGUCGAGUGACUGAAAAACCCAUGUCAUUCAGAUGUGUGGGGGUUUAGGAAUCCAAAAGAGGCAUAGGAGUGACUUCCCUGCCAUGACUCUCCCUGAAUCUGUUAGAGGCUGGCAGUCGACCUGGUUCUACUGCCAGGACAUCUCAGCUCAAGGUCAGUCGACUGGUCUUCCCCACUUCUCAUUCGAUCGUGUUUAGACUCCUACCCCACCGAAAGUGACUGCUGCGGAGAGCGUGGAGACAAAGAUGUUGGUAGAGAAAGUGGUUUAGCUUAUUAAUGAUGGCGUCACCGGCCUGGAUCUGCUGGAGGUGUUCCUCAGUUGACGUAUCCAGCCUCUUCAGGCUCGCGAUCAUCCCAUGUGGCUAUACUUUGGGCUAGACGACACCGCUCGAGUCCAUCCAGAAGAAGUGUCGUCCAAGACCGUGGCUUUGUGGCUGAGGAGCAUCACAGGCAAUCAGGACAACCCCAGAGGAUCUAGGCGAGUCAUUCCGUUCAAUGAAGGUAAUCCGCCUGACAAGCUAUGCUCUUCGUUCCACUGUUUCAUGCUCACGCUCCGACUGCAUUUGAUGUCGACUGACCCUUACCUGACUGAUUUGUCCCAUAGGUAUUCACUGAGAUGCAUUCGAUGCCCAAUGGCGAACAAGCUCUGGUGCAGGAUCAGGAAGGAGAGGCCAGUGCAGAGGAAAGCGGUGAAUGGGAGUCCUCGGAUGAAGAGGAGGAGGAGGAGAGCGAGCAGUCGGACGAGGAGGUGGAAGUAAACUCGCCGCCGUGCUCUGAGCAUCGAUCCAAGCAGCAACAUGACCCGGCAGGCAGGCGUGGAAAGAACGUGGCUCCAGGUCCCGAUGCUCAGAAGCGUGUUCGAACGUCGACUCCGGAGCCCGCAGAGAAGAUCGCCAAGCAGCCCAAGGUUGCUCCUCCCAGGGCUCGGAAAACUUUGCCACGGAUCAAGAUGGACGUCCCUGUGGCUUCGGGGUGAGUAUCACACUUGUGUUUAUGUAGACCGACUGAACUUCCCGUCAUGACCGAUUGGAUCAUGCAUCUCUCCAGUCCCACCUCUGCUGCUAUCGACAUGGACAUCGACAAGGCUCUAGGAGACGAGGAGGCUGAAGGAAAUAUGCCCUAGAGGCAAUAAUAAAGUUAUUAUUUAUUUCCUCAUAUCAUGAUAAAUGUUUAUUAUUCAUGCUAGAAUUGUAUUAACCGGAAACAUGAUACAUGUGUGAAUACAUAGACAAACAUAUAGUCACUAGUAUGCCUCUACUUGACUAGCUCAUUAAUCAAAGAUGGUUAUGUUUCCUAACCAUAGACAUGUGUUGGCAUUUGAUUAAUGGGAUCACAUCAUUAGGAGAAUGAUGUGACUCACAUGACCCAUUGCGUUAGCCUAGCACUUGAUCGUUUAGUAUAUUGCUAUUGCUUUCUUCAUGACUUAUACAUGUUCCUGUAACUAUGAGAUUAUGCAACUCCCGUUUACCGGAGGAACACUUUGGGUACUACCAAACGUCACAACGUAACUGGGUGAUUAUAAAGGAGUACUACAGGUGUCUCCGAAGGUACAUGUUGAGUUGGCGUAUUUCGAGAUUAGGUUUUGUCACUCCGAUUGUCGGAGAGGUAUCUCUGGGCCCUCCCGGUAAUGCACAUCACUAUAAACCUUGCAAGCAAUGUGACCAAUGAGUUGGUUACGGGAUGAUGCAUUACGUAACGAGUAAAGAGACUUGCCGGUAACGAGAUUGAACUAGGUAUUGGAUACCGACGAUCAAAUCUCGGGCAAGUAACAUACCGAUGACAAAGGGAACAACGUAUGUUGUUAUGCGGUUUGACCGAUAAAGAUCUUCGUAGAAUAUGUAGGAACCAAUAUGGACAUCCAGGUUCCGCUAUUGGUUAUUGACCGAGAAUAGUUCUAGGUCAUGUCUACAUAGUUCUCGAACCCGUAGGGUCCGCACACUUAAGGUUUCGAUGACAGUUUUAUUAUGAGUUUGUGAGUUUUGAUGUACCGAAGGAGUUCGGGGUCCCGGAUGAGAUUGGGGACAUGACGAGGAGUCUCGAAAUGGUCGAGACGUAAAGAUCAAUAUAUUGGAUGACUAUAUUCGGAGUUCGGAAAGGUUCCGAGUGAUUCGGGUAUUUUUCGAAGUACCGGAGAGUUACCGGAAUUUGCCGGGGAGUAUAUGGGCCUUAUUGGGCCAUACGGGAAUAGAGGAGAGAGGCCGAAAGGAAGGAGGCGCGCAGCCCCCCUCUGGUCCGAAUUGGACAAGGGGUGCGGCCCCCCUUUCCUUCCUCCUCUACCCCUCUUUCCCCCCUUCUCCUACUCCAACAAGGAAGGAGGGAGUCCUACUCCCGGUGGGAGUAGGACUCCCCUUGGCGCGCCCCUCCUAGGCCGGCCGCCCCCUCCCCCCUUGCUCCUUUAUAUACGGGGGCAGGGGGUCACCUCUAGGGAGAACAACACAAGUUGAUCUACGGAUUGUUCCUUAGCCAUGUGCGGUGCCCCCCUCCACCAUAUUCCACCUCGGUCAUAUCGUCGCGGAGUUUAGGCGAAGCCCUGCGCCGGUAGAACAUCAUCAUCGUCACCACGCCGUCGUGCUGACGAAACUCAUCCCCGAAGCUUUGCUAGAUCGGAGCCCGGGGAUCGUCAUCGAGCUGAACGUGUGCUGAACUCGAGGGUGCCGUACAUUCGGUGCUUGGAUCGGUCAGAUCGUGAAGACGUACGACUACAUCAACCGCGUUGUCAUAACACUUCCGCUUAUGGUCUACGAGGGUACGUGGACAACACUCUCCCCUCUCGUUGCUAUGUCAUCACCAUGAUCUUGCGUGUAUGUAGGAAAACUGUUGAAAUUACUACGUUCCCCAACAGUGGCAUCCGAGCCAGGUUUUAUGUGUAGAUGUCAUAUGCACGAGUAGAACACAAGUGAGUUGUGGGCGAUACAAGUCAUACUGCUUACCAGCAUGUCAUACUUUGGUUCGGCGGUAUUGUGAGAUGAAGCGGCCCGGACCGACAUUACGCGUACGCUUACGCGAGACUGGUUUCACCGUUACGAGCACUCGUGCUUAAAGGUGACUGGCGGGUGACUGUCUCUCUCACUUUAGCUGAAUCGAGUGUGGCUACGCCUGGUCCUUGCGAAGGUUAAAACAGCACAACUUGACGAACUAUCGUUGUGGUUUUGAUGCGUAGGUAAGAACGGUUCUUGCUAAGCCCGUAGUAGCCACGUAAAACUUGCAACAACAAAGUAGAGGACGUCUAACUUGUUUUUGCAGGGCAUGUUGUGAUGUGAUAUGGUCAAGACGUGAUGCUAUAUUUUAUUGUAUGAGAUGAUCAUGUUUUGUAACCGAAGUUAUCGGCAACUGGCAGGAGCCAUAUGGUUGUCGCUUUAUUGUAUGAAAUGCAAAUGCCCUGUAAUUGCUUUACUUUAUCACUAAGCGGUAGCGAUAGUCGUAGAAGCAAAAGAUGGCGUAAAUGACAACAAUGCUACGAUGAAGAUCAAGGUGUCGCGCCGGUGACGAUGGUGAUCACGACGGUGCUUCGGAGAUGGAGAUCACAAGCACAAGAUGAUGAUGGCCAUAUCAUAUCACUUAUAUUGAUUGCAUGUGAUGUUUAUCCUUUAUGCAUCUUAUCUUGCUUUGAUUGACGGUAGCAUUUUAAGAUAAUCUCUCACUAAAAUUAUCAAGAAGUGUUCUCCCUGAGUAUGCACCGUUGCCAAAGUUCGUCGUGCCCAGACACCACGUGAUGAUCGGGUGUGAUAAGCUCUACGUCCAUCUACAACGGGUGCAAGCCAGUUUUGCACAUGCAGAAUACUCAGGUUAAACUUGACGAGCCUAGCAGAUGCAGAUAUGGCCUCAGAACACGGAGACCGAAAGGUCGAGCGUGAAUCAUAUAGUAGAUAUGAUCAACAUAGUGAUGUUCACCAUUGAAAACUACUCCAUCUCACGUGAUGAUCGGUUAUGGUUUAGUUGAUUUGGAUCACGUGAUCACUUAGAUGACUAGAGAGAUGUCUGUCUAAGUGGGAGUUCUUAAGUAAUAUGAUUAAUUGAACUUAAAUUUAUCAUGAACUUAGUACCUGAUAGUAUUUUUCUUAUCUAUGUUUGUUGUAGAUAGAUGGCUCGUGCUGUUGUUUCGUUGAAUUUUAAUGCGUUCCUUGAGAAAGCAAAGUUGAAAGAUGAUGGUAGCAAUUACACGGACUGGGUCCGUAACUUGAGGAUUAUCCUCAUUGCUGCACAGAAGAAUUACGUCCUGGAAGCACCGCUGGGUGCCAGGCCUGCUGCUGAUGCAACUGACAACGUUAAGAACGUCUGGCAGAGCAAAGCUGAUGACUACUCGAUAGUUCAGUGUGCCAUGCUUUACGGCUUAGAACCGGGUCUUCAAUGACGUUUUGAACGUCAUGGAGCAUAUGAGAUGUUCCAGGAGUUGAAGUUAAUAUUUCAAGCAAAUGCCCGGAUUGAGAGAUAUGAAGUCUCCAAUAAGUUCUAUAGCUGCAAGAUGGAGGAGAAUAGUUCUGUCAGUGAACACAUACUCAAAAUGUCUGGGUAUAACAAUCACUUGAUUCAACUGGGAGUUAAUCUUCCUGGUGAUAGUGUCAUUGACAGAAUUCUCCAAUCACUGCCACUAAGCUACAAGAGCUUCGUGAUGAACUAUAAUAUGCAAGGGAUGAACAAGACAAUUCUUGAGCUCUUCGCAAUGCUAAAAGCUGCGGAAGUAGAAAUCAAGAAGGAGCAUCAAGUGUUGAUGGUAACAAGACCACUAGUUUCAAGAAAAAGGGCAAAGGGAAGAAGAAGGGGAACUUCAAGAAGAACAGCAAGCAAGUUGCUGCUCAAGAGAAGAAACCCAAGUCUGGACCUAAGCCUGAAACUGAGUGCUUCUACUGCAAGCAGACUGGACACUGGAAGUGGAACUGCCCCAAGUAUUUGGCGGAUAAGAAGGAUGGCAAGGUGAACAAAGGUAUAUGUGAUAUACAUGUUAUGUGUACCUUACUAGAGCUCGCAGUAGCACCUGGGUAUUUGAUACCGGUUCUGUUGCUAACAUUUGCAACUCGAAACAGGGACUACGGAAUAAGCGAGCACUAGCCAAGGAUGAGGUGACGAUGCGCGUGGGAAACGGUUCCAAAGUCGAUGUGAUCGCGGUCGGCACGCUACCUCUACAUCUACCUCCGGGAUUAGUUUUAGACCUGAAUAAUUUUUAUUUGGUGCCAGCGUUGAGCAUGAACAUUAUAUCUGGAUCUUGUUUGAUGCGAGACGGUUAUUCAUUUAAAUCAGAGAAUAAUGGUUGUUCUAUUUAUAUGAGUAAUAUCUUUUAUGGUCAUGCACCCUUGAAGAGUGGUCUAUUUUUGUUGAAUCUCGAUAGUAGUGAUACACAUAUUCAUAAUGUCGAAGCCAAAAGAUGCAGAGUUAAUAAUGAUAGUGCAACUUAUUUGUGGCACUGCCGUUUAGGUCAUAUCAGUGUAAAGCGCAUGAAGAAACUCCAUACUGAUGGAAUUUUGGAAUCACUUGAUUAUGAAUCACUUGGUACUUGCGAACCGUGCCUCAUGGGCAAGAUGACUAAAACACCAUUCUCCGGUACUAUGGAGAGAGCAACAGAUUUGUUGGAAAUCAUACAUACAGAUGUAUGCGGUCCGAUGAAUGUUGAAGCUCGUGGCAGAUAUCGUUAUUUUCUCACCUUCACAGAUGAUUUAAGCAGAUAUGGGUAUAUCUACUUAAUGAAACACAAGUCUGAAACAUUUGAAAAGUUCAAAGAAUUUCAAAGUGAAGUGGAAAAUCAUCGUAACAAGAAAAUAAAAUUCCUACGAUCUGAUCAUGGAGGAGAAUAUUUGAGUUACGAGUUUGGUUUACAUUUGACACAAUGCGGAAUAGUUUCGCAGCUCACGCCACCCGGAACACCACAACGAAAUGGUGUGUCCGAACGUCGUAAUCGUACUUUACUAGAUAUGGUGCGAUCUAUGAUGUCUCUUACUGAUUUACCGCUAUCGUUCUGGGGUUAUGCUUUAGAGACGGCCGCAUUCACGUUAAAUAGGGCACCAUCAAAAUCCGUUGAGACGACGCCUUAUGAACUGUGGUUUGGCAAGAAACCAAAAUUGUCGUUUCUUAAAGUUUGGGGCUGCGAUGCUUAUGUGAAGAAACUUCAACCAGAUAAGCUCAAACCUAAACCGGAGAAAUGUGUCUUCAUAGGAUACCCGAAAGAAACAGUUGGGUAUACCUUCUAUCACAGAUCCGAAGGCAAGACAUUCGUUGCUAAGAAUGGAUCCUUUCUAGAGAAGGAGUUUCUCUCGAAAGAAGUGAGUGGGAGGAAAGUAGAACUUGAUGAGGUAACUGUACCUGCUCCCUUAUUGGAAAGUAGUUCAUCACAUGAAUCGGUUCCUGUGACACCUACACCAAUUAGUGAGGAAGCUAAUGAUAUUGAUCAUGAAACUUCAGAUCAAGUUUCUACUGAACUUCGAAGGUCUACCAGAGUAAGAUUCGCACUAGAGUGGUACAGUAAUCCUAUUCUAUAAAUCAUGUUACUUGACCAUGACGAACCUACGAACUAUGAGGAAGCGAUGAUGAGCCCAGAUUCCGCAAAAUGGCUAGAGGCCAUGAAAUCUGAGAUGGGAUCCAUGUAUGAGAACAAAGUAUGGACUUUGGUUGACUUGCCCGAUGAUCGGCAGGCCAUUGAGAAUAAAUGGAUCUUUAAGAAGAAGACUGACGCUGAUGGUAAUGUAACUGUCUAUAAAGCUCGACUUGUCGCAAAAGGUUUUCGACAAGUUCAAGGGGUUGACUAUGAUGAGACUUUCUCACCCGUAGCGAUGCUUAAGUCUGUCCAAAUCAUGUUAGUCAUUGCUGCAUUUCAUGAUUAUGAAAUCUGGCAAAUGGAUGUCAAAACUGCAUUCUUGAAUGGAUUUCUGGAAGAAGAGUUGUAUAUGAUGCAGCCAGAAGGUUUUGUUGAUCCAAAGGUGCUAACAAAGUAUGCAAGCUCCAGCGAUCCAUUUAUGGACUGGUGCAAGCAUCUCGGAGUUGGAAUAAACGCUUUGAUAGUGUGAUCAAAGCAUAUGGUUUUAUACAGACUUUUGGAGAAGCCUGUAUUUACAAGAAAGUGAGUGGGAGCUCUGUAGCAUUUCUGAUAUUAUAUGUAGAUGACAUAUUAUUAAUUGGAAAUGAUAUAGAAUUUCUGGAUAGCAUAAAGGGAUACUUGAAUAAAAGUUUUUCAAUGAAAGAUCUAGGUGAAGCUUCUUACAUAUUGGGCAUCAAGAUCUAUAGAGAUAGAUCAAGACGCUUAAUAGGACUUUCACAAAGCACAUACCUUGAUAAAAUUUUGAAAAGGUUCAAAAUGGAUCAGGCAAAGAAAGGGUUCUUGCCCGUGCUUCAAGGUGUGAAGUUGAGUCAAACUCAAUGCCCGACCACAGCAGAAGAUAGAGAGAAAAUGAAAGAUGUUCCCUAUGCUUCAGCCAUAGGCUCUAUCAUGUAUGCAAUGCUGUGUACCAGACCUGACGUAUGCUUAGCAAUAAGUUUGGCAGGGAGGUACCAAAGUAAUCCAGGAGUGGAUCACCGGACAGCGGUCAAGAACAUCCUGAAAUACCUGAAAAGGACUAAGGAUAUGUUUCUCGUAUAUGGAGGUGACAAAGAGCUAGUCGUAAAUGGUUACAUCGAUGCAAGCUUUGACACUGAUCCGGACGAUUCUAAAUCGCAAACCGGAUACGUGUUUUUAUUAAACGGUGGAGCUGUAAGUUGGUGCAGUUCUAAACAAAGCGCCGUGGCGGGAUCUACAUGUGAAGCUGAGUACAUAGCUGCUUCGGAAGCAGCAAAUGAAGGAGUCUGGAUGAAGGAGUUCAUUACCGAUCUAGGUGUCAUACCUAGUGCAUCGGGACCAAUGAAGAUCUUCUGUGACAAUACUGGUGCAAUUGCUUUGGCAAAGGAAUCUAGAUUUCACAAGAGGACCAAGCACAUCAAGAGACACUUCAAUUCCAUCCGGGACCAAGUCCAAGUGGGAGACAUAGAAAUUUGCAAGAUACAUACAGAUCUGAAUGUUGCAGACCCAUUGACUAAGCCUCUCUCACGAGCAAAACAUGAUCAGCACCAAGACUCCAUGGGUGUUAGAAUCAUUACUAUGUAAUCUAGAUUAUUAACUCUAGUGCAACUGGGAGACUGAAGGAAAUAUGCCCUAGAGGCAAUAAUAAAGUUAUUAUUUAUUUCCUCAUAUCAUGAUAAAUGUUUAUUAUUCAUGCUAAAAUUGUAUUAACCGGAAACAUGAUACAUGUGUGAAUACAUAGACAAACAUAUAGUCACUAGUAUGCCUCUACUUGACUAGUUCAUUAAUCAAAGAUGGUUAUGUUUCCUAACCAUAGACAUGUGUUGUCAUUUGAUUAAUGGGAUCACAUCAUUAGGAGAAUGAUGUGAUUGACAUGACCCAUUCCGUUAGCCUAGCACUUGAUCGUUUAGUAUAUUGCUAUUGCUUUCUUCAUGACUUAUACAUGUUCCUGUAACUAUGAGAUUAUGCAACUCCCGUUUACCGGAGGAACACUUUGGGUACUACCAAACGUCACAAUACUACAGGUGUCUCCGAAGGUACAUGUUGAGUUGGCGUAUUUCGAGAUUAGGUUUUGUCACUCCGAUUGUCGGAGAGGUAUCUCUGGGCCCUUUCGGUAAUGCACAUCACUAUAAGCCUUGCAAGCAAUGUGACCAAUGAGUUGGUUACGGGAUGAUGCAUUACGUAACGAGUAAAGAGACUUGCCGGUAACGAGAUUGAACUAGGUAUUGGAUACCGACGAUCAAAUCUCGGGCAAGUAACAUACCGAUGACAAAGGGAAGAACGUAUGUUGUUAUGCGGUUUGACCGAUAAAGAUCUUCGUAGAAUAUGUAGGAACCAAUAUGGACAUCUAGGUUCCGCUAUUGGUUAUUGACCGAGAAUAGUUCUAGGUCAUGUCUACAUAGUUCUCGAACCCGUAGGGUCCGCACACUUAAGGUUUUGAUGACAGUUUUAUUAUGAGUUUGUGAGUGUUGAUGUACCGAAGGAGUUCGGAGUCCCGGAUGAGAUCGGGGACAUGACGAGGAGUCUCGAAAUGAUCGAGACGUAAAGAUCGAUAUAUUGGACGACUAUAUACGGAGUUCGGAAAGGUUCCGAGUGAUUCGGGUAUUUUUCGGAGUACCAGAGAGUUAUGGGAAUUCGCCGGGGAGUAUAUGGGCCUUAUUGGGCCAUACGGGAAUAGAGGAGAGAGGCCGAAAGGAAGGAGGCGCGCAGCCCCCCUCUGGUCCGAAUUGGACAAGGGGUGCGGCCCCCCUUUCCUUCCUCCUCUCCCCCUCUUUCCCCCCUUCUCCUACUCCAACAAGGAAGGAGGGAGUCCUACUCCCGGUGGGAGUAGGACUCCCCUUGGCGCGCCCCUCCUAGGCCGGCCGCCCCCUCCCCCCUUGUUCCUUUAUAUACGGGGGCAGGGGGGCACCUCUAGGGAGAACAACACAAGUUGAUCUACGAAUCGUUCCUUAGCCGUGUGCGGUGCCCCCCUCCACCAUAUUCCACCUUGGUCAUAUCGUCGCGGAGUUUAGGCGAAGCCCUGCGCCGGUAGAACAUCAUCAUCGUCACCACGCCAUCGUGCUGACGGAACUCAUCCCCGAAGCUUUGCUGGAUCGGAGCCCGGGGAUCGUCAUCGAGCUGAACGUGUGCUGAACUUGGAGGUGCCGUACGUUCGGUGCUUGGAUCGGUCAGAUCGUGAAGACGUACGACUACAUCAACCGCGUUGUCAUAACGCUUCCGCUUACGGUCUCCGAGGGUACGUGGACAACACUCUCCCCUCUCGUUGCUAUGUCAUCAUCAUGAUCUUGCGUGUACGUAGGAAAACUGUUGAAAUUACUACGUUCCCCAACAGAGGCCACUUCUCGAGCUGGUAAGUUCGUUCGACCAGGUUUCAUUUAGUCGAGUGGAUCGUCAAUCGGCUGGGUUUUUGAUAUUUCGCUCUUUCUGUAGUUCCACAGGAGGUCAUCGUACUCCCCGAUGAAGAAGAAGAAGAAGAAGUGCCUCUGCAGGAGAGGAGGAAGAGGAGUGGAGGUUCGAGCAGAAAGAGACUCGAAGUCCAGGUCCCUCAGUCGAUGCCGGUGCUUGAGGCGGUGGUCGAACGUUCCGGGGAGCCGGUUCAGACCAACGUCACAUUUGCCGACCCACUGACGACUGAUCGUCCAUCGAGAUCGGCUGCUCCAACUCCUGUUGCUCCGGUGCAACUCCACGCGUCUGACCCAGUAACCGCUUCGACUGCCUUGCAACCAUCACUCUUCGCUGCCUAUCAGACCCCAGACGACUCGCCGAGUGCUGCCAGGGAGGCUCUUCGCCAGGUGAACCUUGUCAUGGAGCAGGUGAAGGUGAUGCACGAGGCUAGUCAGGUGGCUUACAACGCCAGCACUGCCCUUCAGACCAAUGUUCAGGUCAGCAAAACACCGAGUGAACUUUUGAAUGUUGAGUUAUAUCCGAGCACCCACUGGGGUGUUUCUUUGCAUAGAGAUCAGGAAACCUUCCACUCCACUCGACUCAAGCUGAGUCUUAAUAAAUUGUCUGAACCAGUGGGGGCACGCUAAGUGCACCCACUGGGUGUAGUCCCCGAGACCACGGUCGACUGCUGGCAGUCGACUAAGGUCUUAGAAUGUACUCCUGUUGUGUUGUUUUUUUUGGACUCACGCUGGGCAGGCCCCGCUGAGUAUUGAUCUGAACCAGUGGGGGCAUGCUAAGUGCACCCACUGGGUGUAGUCCUCGAGACUAUUGUUGAAUAUUUGAUUUAGCAAUAGUCUUAGAGUAACUUUUCAUUGUCACUUGCUCUUAUUCCUGUCGACUGACAAAUCUCUCCUGCUGACCGCAGAGGUCGUGUGAUCUUGGAGCUCGACUUUCUGAGUUGAAGAAGAAGCACAUCAGCGUUGAACUUGACCUUGAACUCGCAAAGAAGAACCUCAAGACCGCCUAACAAGAAACGACCAUCAUGGGAGGUAAUCGUUCGACUGUCUAGUCUGUCUUGUAGCUCGCACUUCCCACUUCUUUUCUUUUCAGUUUCUUUGAACCGAGUGAAUUCACACAAGCAGAUGUGCGUAGUGAAAAUCGCCAACUUCAGUCCCAUCUGAGGAGUGUUGUUUCUUUAGAGAGGAUGAAGGAGGCUUUGGAGAAGAAGGAUCUGGAUCUGGCGGCUACUCAGAAGGAAGCACGUGAGAAGACGAAGCUUGCGGACUAGAAGCUAGCUUCAGUCGGCAAAUUGGAGGAGGAGAACACAAAUUUGAAUACCGCCAUCUCGGACGCUAAUCGAGAAGUCGAGCAGCUGAGGAAGGACAAGGAAAAUCUGAGCACUGAAUUCGGCGGCCUCAGAACCAAGACAAACAAGCUAGAGUCCUAUCUAGAGCAACUCGCCGUGAAACUUGUUCUGAAGCUUGAAGGUAUGAUCAUUCGACUGAAGUUAACUUGUCGUCGACUCAAGUUUGUUGUCACAUUGUCGACUCAUUGCUUUUCGCGAUGGGACAGAACUUUGUUAGGACUUUGAAGCUGAAACCGGGCUGGUGAAACCUGCUGCAGUUGGAGUCACGUUUGGAUGGUGCAGUCGCUCAUCUGGCUCGAUUGAAGGCGGAGAUGACCCGAGUGGAUGCUGAGCUCUGUCCUCGGGCUGAACUUUCUGAAGACCUCGAGUCGCUGAUGACUCGACUUAAUCAGAUUCCCGACCGAGUGCAAGAGUGGAAGAAGUCCUCUGCUCGUUGUGGUGCUGAUGUCGCCUUGUCAUUGGUUCGAGUGCACUGCAAGGAGGCUAAGGAAGACAAGAUGGCCGCCCUCAAGGUAGCGAAUACUAAGAAGCAUUCCUUCGAGUCUUUCAUGGACACCUUCCUCGAGGCAGCCACUCGUAUUGCCGACAGCAUCGACCUCGAUAGUUUCUGCGAUCCUGCCAGUCCUUCUCCCGCCGAGUGACUGAAAAACAUUAUGCAUCACUUUUAUUUGCCUCGGAAUGCCGAGUGAUUUUGUAAUCGUUAAAACUCCUUCGGGCCUGAUGCCUGAGUACUUUAAUCGGCGGUUAGGAAUCUUUGGAUUUAUCUUCGAACAUGUUGCUCUUAUCUUCGAUUGAAAUCCGUUCUUAUCUUGGAUUGGUUUUUGUUUAUUCGACGCGGCUUCUGAAAAAGAAUCCGCAGUCGACCAGUUGGACGAGCCUUGAGCAGCAUUGAUCAGCUCACCAGCAAGGCACUCAGCAAUGAUCUUGAUGUUCCUGCCAUCGGCAAGGCGCACAAUCUCGUCCUUCUUCUUGACAGCAUAGCCCCCGGGGGGGAGCCAGUCGACUGGUUGGACGAGCUCUAAAUAGCAUUGAUCAGCUCAUCAGCGAGGCAUUCAGCAAUGGUCUUGACGUUCCUGAAAGUGGCUUGCCUAGGCAACACACUCAAUCUCGCCCUUCUUCUUGAUGGUGCAACUCUGGAGUGAGGGUAAUGGUCGACCCGCACUUUGAUAAGCCUUCGAGUGAAAAGAUCAAUUUUCACUCGGGAAGGUUUCCCAAACUUAGGCGAGUACUGGACUGCAGCUAAGCCCCCCGAGUGAGAGGCGGACUCUUCACUCGGUAGGAUCUUUGUAACUUAGGCGAGUACUGGACUGCAUCUAAGCCUCCGAGUAAGAGGAUUGCUCACCACUCGGUAGGAUUUUUUAAACUUAGGUGAGUUCUGGACCACAGCUAAGCCCCCGAGUGAGAGGAUUGCUCACCACUCGGUAGAAUUUUUCGAACUUAGGCGAGUACUGGACUGCAGCUAAGCCUCCGAGUGAGAGGGUUCCUCACCACUCGGUAGGAUUUUUCAAACUUAGGCGGGUACUGGACCGCAGCUAAGCCCCCGAGNNNNNNNNNNNNNNNNNNNNNNNNNNNNNNNNNNNNNNNNNNNNNNNNNNNNNNNNNNNNNNNNNNNNNNNNNNNNNNNNNNNNNNNNNNNNNNNNNNNNNNNNNNNNNNNNNNNNNNNNNNNNNNNNNNNNNNNNNNNNNNNNNNNNNNNNNNNNNNNNNNNNNNNNNNNNNNNNNNNNNNNNNNNNNNNNNNNNNNNNNNNNNNNNNNNNNNNNNNNNNNNNNNNNNNNNNNNNNNNNNNNNNNNNNNNNNNNNNNNNNNNNNNNNNNNNNNNNNNNNNNNNNNNNNNNNNNNNNNNNNNNNNNNNNNNNNNNNNNNNNNNNNNNNNNNNNNNNNNNNNNNNNNNNNNNNNNNNNNNNNNNNNNNNNNNNNNNNNNNNNNNNNNNNNNNNNNNNNNNNNNNNNNNNNNNNNNNNNNNNNNNNNNNNNNNNNNNNNNNNNNNNNNNNNNNNNCCGUACCAUUUGGUAGGAUUUUUGUAACUUAGGCGAGUACUGGACUGCAGCUAAGCCCCCUGAGUGAGAGGCGGGCUCUUCACUCGGUAGGAUUUUUGUAACUUAGGCGAGUACUGGACUGCAGCUAAGCCCUCGAGUGAGAGGCGGACUCUUCACUCGGUAGGAUUUUUGUAACUUAGGCAAGUACUGGACUGCAGCUAAGCCCCUGAGUGAGAGGCGGACUCUUCACUCGGUAGGAUUUUUCAAACUUAGGCGAGUACUGGACUGUAGCUAAGCCCCCGAGUGAGAGGCGGACUCUUCACCCGGUAGUAUUUUUUCUCAGACUUAGGCGAAACGGAUUUGCAGCUAAGCCCCCUAGUGAGAGGCGGACUCUUCACUCGGUAGGAUUUUUUCUCAGACUUAGGCGAAACGGAUUCGCACCUAAGGCACCCACUGGGUGAUUUUUAAAAAAACAUGUAGAAAAUGAACAACAAUCAUUCGGAAAACUGUAAAGUCAUGUCUCUUGAUAAUCAAACUAAAAGGUACUUGUUAUUACAUCUCAUUGGUCUAAACACUUAAGAGUAAAAAGGGCGGAGCAGUUCCACGUUACAAGCGUGUGGCUCAUAUUUAUUGUGCUCGACGUUGAAGAGGCGAUAUGCUCCGUUGUGGAGCACUUUGGUGACGACGAAAGGGCCUUCCCAAGCAUGAGUGAGCUUGUGUGGCUUCUGCUGGUCCACUCGGAGAACCAGGUCUCCUUCUUGAAAUGCCCGUCCCCUUACGUUUCUGGCGUGGAAUCGACGCAAGUCUUGCUGAUAGAUGGUCGACCGGAUCAAGGCCAUCUCUCUUUCUUCUUCUAGUAGAUCGACUGCAUCUUGCCGAGCCUGCUUUGCUUCCUCUUCUGAGAAGAGUUCGAAUCGGGGCGCGUUGUGGAGCAAAUCACUUGGGAGUACGGCUUCGGCUCCGUAGACUAAGAAGAAUGGAGUCCGUCCAGUCAACCGAUUGGGAGUCGUCCUCAAUCCCCAAAGCAUUGACGGGAGCUCAUCAACCCAAGCACCUGCUGCAUGCUUGAGGUCACGCAUCAACCAGGGUUUCAGUCCUUUGAGAAUCAAUCCAUUCGCUCGCUCAGCCUGCCCAUUCGACUAAGGGUGAGCAACCGAGGCGUAAUCGACCCUCAUGCCUUGGGAAGCACAAAAGGCUCUGAAUUCAUUAGAGUUGAAGUUCGACCCGUUGUCCGUGAUGAUGUUGUGCGGAACACCAUAUCUGAAUAUCAAUUCCCUGAUGAAACUCACAGUAGUACUUGCCUCGAGAUUUUUAAUGGGCUUGGCUUCGAUCCACUUGGUAAACUUGUCGAUUGCCACUAGCACAUGGGUAAAUCCGCUCCUGCCGGUCCUCAGAGGCCCAACCAUGUCCAAUCCCCAAACAGCAAAAGGCCAGAUGAGUGAAAUAGUCUUCAGAGCUGAUGCAGGUUUAUGGGACAUGUUGGAGUAAAAUUGACAACCUUCACACUUGUCCACUAUUUCCUUUGCCAUCUCAUUGGCACGUGUCCAGUAAAAUCCGGCUCGAUAUGCUUUGGCCACGAUGGUCCGAGAUGACGCAUGGUGACUAUCGGUGUCAAAACCGGCGGAUCUCGAGUAGGGGGUCCCGAACUAUGCGUCUAGGCGGAUGGUAACAGGAGACAAGGGACACGAUGUUUUUACCUAGGUUCGGGCCCUCUCGAUGGAGGUAAAACCCUACUCCUGCUUGAUUAAUAUUGAUGAUAUGGGUAGUACAAGAGUAGAUCUACCACGAGAUCGGAGUGGCUAAACCCUAGAAGCUAGCCUAUGGUAUGAUUGUUGUUCGUCCUAUGGACUAAAACUCUCCGGUUUAAAUAGACACCGGAGAGGGCUAGGGUUACACAGAGUCGGUUACAGUGGGAGGAGAUCUUCAUAUCGUAUCGCCAAGCUUGCCUUCCACGCCAAGGAAAGUCCCAUCCGGACACGGGAUGGAGUCUUCAAUCUUGUAUCUUCAUAGUCCAGGAGUCCGGCCAAAGGUCUUAGUCCGGCCAUCCGGACACCCCCUAAUCCAGGACUCCCUCAGUAGCCCCUGAACCAGGCUUCAAUGACGACGAGUCUGGCACGCAAGUUGUCUUCGGCAUUGCAAGGCGGGUUCCUCCUCCGAAUAUUUCAUAGAAGAUGUUGAACACCAGGGUAGUGUCCGGCUCUGCAAAAUAAGUUCCACAUUCCACCUUAGAGAGAAUAAUAUUUGCGUUAAUCGGAUCUGCUGACGUAUUCCGCGGCAUGACAUCAUGCCACGGCCAGGCUUUUAUUCAUUUUAUUGUUCCACAUCAGCGUGUUUAGCGAGGCGGUUUCCUUGGCACGUCUUGUCAAAGCAGAGAUUGUGUCCCCUUAUUCCGGGAUUCUCAUCAAUACGGGUGUGGGUAACCCAACCGCGCCAUUAACCGCGGCGCUUGAGAGAUAAGCGAGUUUUAUUAGGCCGGUGGGGGGCUCGUAGUUUUGGCCGCCCAUAUAAGGGGAUAAGAAUCCGCCCUUUCCAUUCACGCCUUCCUCCUCCUCUACUUAUCCGUCCCUGCGCGCUCGAGCUCCAGCGCCCAGGCCCACACUUCCCACCUCAACCUUCUCCAACCAUGUCCGGAGUGGGAGGUAGAUGGAUGGCCUCCUCCGUCAUGGAGGGGCAAAUCAAAAAACUGAGGAAGGCCGGAUACUUGUCUAACGACAUCGAGCACCGGCUUCCAGAUGUGGGGCAACUCAUCCCCACCCCCAGGCCCCAUGAGAGGGUUGUUUUUCUUCCCCAUUUCCUCCGCGGACUGGGUUUUCCUCUUCACCCGUUCGUCCGGGGGCUCAUGUUCUACUACGGCCUGGACUUCCACGAUCUGGCCCCGAACUUCAUCCUCAAUAUCUUGGCGUUUAUCAUCGUGUGUGAGGCCUUCUUCCGCAUCCAGCCCCACUUUGGCCUAUGGCUGAAGAUCUUCAACGUCAAGCCGAAGGUUGUGAAAGGCCGACAAGCGGAAUGCAGAGGUGCCAUGGUGGGCAAGAUAGCCAACGUCACCUGGCUCGAGGGUGCCUUCGUGGAGACCAUCAAAGGGUGGCAAUCGGGGUGGUUUUAUAUCACCGAGCCGCGUGACCCUAAGUGGGCAGCGGCCCCCGAAUUUCGAUUCGGCAUCCCCACCCAGCUCACAUCUUGGAAAGAGACGGGCCUGUCGUGGGGCAAUCCGGAAGAGGUGACCGGACUCCAAACUUGCGUCCGAGGCCUGGUGACCAAGAAGGUCAAGCUUGUCAAUGUGGUCCAGGUUAUGCUCUUCCGCCGGAUACUCCCGUGUCAACAACGGGACUUCAAUUUGUGGGAGUUCGACCCGGCCCAGCACCAGACUCUAUCCCGGCUCUUCGAAAUGAAGCACGAGGACGCCUGGAAGGUGCUUUUCAAGAGUUCCGAGGUCUCCCCUCCCGUCAUCGAGGAUCGCGGAUUCUGCGCCAAACGUCAAGCCUCCGAAGUAAGCUUACAUUUAGUCCCUUACGGGAUACCCAAAUUUCAUAGUGUGACUUUAUGUGGGAUCUAAACUCCCGUUCCUUUGACAGAACUGGAAGAAGACAUCCGGACAGUUUGACUAUCCGGCUCCUUUGCCCGAAGGCCCAGCAGACGUGCAAUUAGCAAAGCUACUAGUUCCGGCACCUCACGUGGUGCCAGAGAAGAAGGCCAGGGAGAAGACCGCGGGGACCCGAAAGAGUUCCCGGUGCCCGGUGGCAUCGGAUUUUCCCGACAACCCCAACGCACCCUCCGCCUCUGAAGACGAGGAGGAAGAAGAAGAAGAAGAUGCCUCUCCCCCUCCAGCGGGGGGAGGAAAGAAAAGAAAGGCCGCCCCAACUGGGGAAGCCGGAGGGUCCAAGAAGGGGAAGACCCUUCUGCCGGACUACGCCCCCGACGCCGAAGACGGCGGGGGGGAAUGGCCAUCCAAGGUCAAGCCCCUGGCAAAAUCGUAAGUGUCCGGCUACCCGAAUGACUUAUUGCACUUCUUUAUUAUUCGAUAGCUUCUAACGCCGAAUCUAAUCAUGCAGUCCACCCAGAGCUCAGCUUGGCGAUUCGUCGAGCGGCUCUCUGAAUUUGUCGGACGUGAAUAGCGCUUCACUUCCGACGGCCUCCUCCCCUCUCCCUACAGACGACGCUGAGGUGGAGUCCCGUAGGGGACAAAACCAGGAGGAGGUGGUCCUGGAGGCGCCACAAGGGGACCGUCCGGACUCCAGGCCCAAAGGGGGUAAAGCUCCGAAGGGAUCUAAGUCCGGCCCCGGGCCAGACACUGCUUCGGAACCAUCAGUGGUUCCAGAGUCCGACAGGCGGCGCCUUCAUAAUAAGGGCAAGCCUGCGACGCCGGCGACUUCCGUCCACUCGGAAGCGCCGGACAAUUUGCUGGAGGCGCUUAACGGUGCCUCCAUCGACGAGGAACACCGCACUGUUAUGAGUGUGGUGAUUCAGAAGGUUCAGUCCGCCAGGAGCGGGCUGACGGAAGCCUGCACAAGCCUGUUAACGGGCUUUGAGGUAUGUGUUCAAAAACAUUUAUAAAAAAUAUUACCGCAUAGAUAGUAGCCCCUGAUGCUCAGUUCAGUGUUCGGAAAGAAAAGUCGAGCUGAGGAUCUAAAAAGAUAUACGCAGGAGUUUAAUAGAAAUAUGUCAAUACGGGAAUGCAGGCUGCGCUGCUGACCUCUGCCGCACUGACUGCGGAGGUCAAUGCAUUGAAGGAAAGCCUCGAGCGGUCCGAGAGCGAGCUCGGCCGUGCCAAGAGGCAGCUCGAGGAUAAAGAGGGUACAUAGUACCUCCUGUAAAUGUAUAUAGAAAUACUUGGUUGCAAAAUAAGAACAGGACCAACGUUAAUGUUGCAGGAGCCACAACCGAGGUGGUGACCCUGAAAGAGGCGGUCUCUGAGGCCGAAAAGAGUGCGGCCUUGGAGCGCACCGAGCGAGAGAAGCAGGAGGCGCGGGUGGCGGAGGUGCGGCAAGAGCUCCAGGCUCUCAUGGAAAAACACGAGAGUUUGGAGCGUGACUCAAAGACUCGAGAGUCCGAGCUUGCCUUGGCUCUUGAGAGUGCCAAGACCGCUAAGGCCGAAGCCCAGAAGGCCCUUCAGGAGAUCGAGGCGAUGAAGAAGAUAGCGGCGAGUAAGGCAUUCUUUAUGCAAAGCAAAAAUAUAAAAGUUAAUUAUCUGCUACUUACCCGAAUCCGGAGCUCUCCAGGAGCGUUCGCCGAUCUGCCCCGUAGUGUGUCUGAUGCCGCCGCAUACUACCGAGCCGAAGAGGGGAGCUCGAUGGAAAAAGUGUUCUAGUCUCAGUAUGCUGAGGCCGAACAUCCGGUGCCCCUGAGCGACCAGCUGAAGCAGCUGGUCGAGCUCCACAAGGUGGCCGAACAGGCCAUGAAGGGCCUCAUAGCUCGGCUGUGGCCUGGAGAAGUCAUGCCUGGGAGCUACUUCGGUCUGGUGCGGCGGCUGGUGGACGCGUGUUCGUGGAUUGAGGUCGUCAACUGCUUCAUUUGUAUUGAAGGUGCCCGUCGGGCCCUUGCCCGUGCUAAGGUGCACUGGGGCAAGCUAGAUGCGGAGAAGCUGUUGACGGACGCGCCACCGCCGGGCAAGGAGUAUCGUACACCCCAGAUGUAUUAUAAUGGCGUUCUGAAGGGUGCCCGCCGUAUAGCGGAUGAGUGCUCCAAAGAUGUAAUUUUUAGUAGACUCGCAUUUGUUAUCCUGUACGCUGAAGCUUUGUUCAUAUGCGUUAAGAAACGCUUGUUAAUUUAAAAUAUUACCUUCUGUGCGGCCGUUUAUCAAAUCUGAGAGAUGCAAGUCAUCGGCUUCGACCCCCAUGCCACGAGUGCUGGGGUGUUCGGGAUAAACCUGAGCGCUCUUGUUCCCAUUCUUGGGUCCAUCUAGGGAGGCGUUCAGCACAACGAACCAGGCCGUCGGACUUAUAAUGCUUUAUCACUCUCACUUAGCCAUAGAAUUCUAUAAUUUUAAAUUUCGGCGAAGCCCCUAGUAUUCGGAAGACCGAGUUCGGGGCGCUAUCCACGCCUAGGCCGGAUAAGUCCGGUUCCUCGCUCGAAGCGGCAUAAGUCUUUAAGGACUCGAAGAAACCUUGCGAACAGCGACCGGUCUCUCGCACUAUCAUGACAGUCAGUUUUAGCUUUCUCUACUGAGGUGUUAACCCAGCUAAACUGGGGCACAAUCGCAGUAGUUCUCCCAGCGCUACCUUAGCCAACAAUGCGGAACGUAAGGUACCAAAACAUGGGAGCCGGGCAAACCCAACUAUUGACCAAAGACAUGAUUCGGAGCCGAUGCAUAUAGUGCUAUAAGUUCGGGGUGCCGCACUCAUGAGAGUGUUCGGUCUUCUCACACCAUGUUAUGGGGUGUUGUAAGCCCCUGGUGUAUUGUCCGCACCAAAGUGUACGGUUGCAGAAUGUCAUGACUGAACAUAUUUGUAUAUAAAAAUAGAUAAGUACAAUAAUAGGUAAGAGCUAUAUAUUGUUUAUUAAAAAAGGGCUGCUGUGAAAGCAGAAUGAUACAAGAAGUGCGGUAAGCAAGAGAUGGGAGUAUUUGACAUAUUCCCCUCCAGGGGCAAGCUGCGGGAUUGUAAGUAAAACAGGUAUUAAACUCGUUUUAGAGACCACCUGGACUUUUGACGUGGCUUGCUCCCUCCCUAACUGUUGCAUCGUUGGUUCAGCGAGUGUAUUGCCGGACAUGCCUUCCGAAUAGUUGGGUCCUGAAAGUGUGUAAAAAGGAAAACGGCGAAAUAGGGAGCCCCUUAGUGUGGUUGAGCCGCCUUCUGGGCGUGUCAUUGUUGUGCCCCUUCCCAUAUGCCCAUGGUAUCUCUAAGGCAUAAUUAUGUAUGCGUGGUACCAGUAUCGCCGUUUGGCGGGGGCUGGGGUUGGGGCCGCACUGCUAUGCUUGCUCGGAAUGUGCCAGCUAGAUUUGUUGGAGGUUACUUCGGGCUCGCUUGGCGUUGUCCGGACGUUUGACGCCUGGAUUGGAGAACUGCCUUGAGAGGCUACUCUGUACUUCCGCCGCCAGGGCCGCCUUGUGCUCCUCCGUUCGGAGAGAGCGUUCGGUGUUUCCGUUUACCGUGAUGACUCCGCGAGGUCCUGGCAUCUUGAGCUUGAGAUAUGCGUAGUGCGGCACCGCAUUGAAUUUUGCAAAUGUGGUUCGUCCAAGCAGGGCGUGAUAGCCGCUGUGGAAUGGGACUAUGUCGAAGAUUAACUCCUCGCUCCGGAAGUUAUCCGGGGAUCCGAAGACCACUUCGAGUGUAAUCGAGCAUGUACAGCUGGCCUCUACCCCUGGUAUGACACCUUUGAAGGUUGUCUUUGUGGGUUUAAUCCUUGAAGGAUCGAUGCCCAUUUUUCGCACUGUGUCCUGGUAAAGCAGGUUCAGGCUACUACCGCCGUCCAUUAGGACUCUGGUAAGGUGAAAUCCGUCGAUAAUUGGGUCUAGGACCAGUGCGGCGAAUCCGCCGUGACGGAUGCUGGUGGGAUGGUCCCUUCGAUCGAAGGUGAUCGGGUAGGAGGACCAUGGGUUGAACUUUGGGGCGACUGGCUCCAGCGCAUAGACGUCCUUGAGAGCACGCUUCCGCUCCCUUUUGGGGAUGUGGGUUGCGUAUAUCAUGUUCACCGUCCGAACUUGCGGGGGAAAUCCCUUCUGUCCUUUGUUGUUCGGCGGCUGGGGCCCCUCCUCGUCAUCGCUAUGUAGCCCCUUGUCUCUGGUCUCGGCACUUAACUUGCCUGCCUGCUUGAACACCCAACAAUCCCUGUUGGUGUGAUUGGUUGGCUGUUCGGGGGUGCCGUGUAUCUGGCACGAGCGAUCGAGUAUCCGGUCUAAGCUGGAUGGGCCCUGAGGGUUUCUUUUGAAUGGCUUCUUCCGCUGACCCGGUUUAGAGCCUCUGAAUCCGGCAUUGACUGUCGUAUCUUCAGUAUUGUCACCGUUAAUGCGGCGCUUAUGCUUGUUGCGACAUGACCUGUCGUUGUUAUCCUUGGUAUCCGAAUUGCCGGGGCUCUUGGUUAUGUUAUUGCUACGAGCUAGCCAGCUGUCUUCUCCCGCACUGAAGCGGGUCAUGAGUGUCGUGAGGGCUGCCAUAGACUUCGGCUUUUCCUGUCCUAGGUGUCGGGUAAGCCAUUCGUCUCAGAUGUUGUGCCUGAAGGCUGCAAGGGCCUCGGCAUCCGGACAAUCGACUAUUUGGUUUUUCUUGGUUAGGAACCGUGUACAGAAUUGUCUGGCCGAUUCCUCUGGCUGCUGGAUUAUGUGGCUUAGGUCAUCGGCGUCUGGUGGUCGCACAUACGUGCCCUGGAAGUUGUCAAGGAAUGCGGAUUCCAGGUCCUCCCAACAACUAAUUGACUCUGCUGGCAGGCUGUUAAGCCAAUGUCGAGCUGGUCCUUUAAGCUUGAGCGGGAGGUAUUUGAUGGCGUGUAGAUCAUCACCACGGUCCAUGUGGAUAUGAAGGAGAUAAUCCUCGAUCCAUACCGCAGGAUCUGUUGUGCCAUCGUAUGAUUUGAUGUUUACGGGUUUGAAGCCCUCGGGGAUUUGAUGAUCCAUUACUUCGUCUGUGAAGCAUAGUGGGUGUGCGGCGCCCUGUACUGGGCUAUAUCACGAUGCAGCUCAGACGAGCUUGGUCUGUUGUAUUCGGUCGGGCCAUACUUAUUGUGUCCGGCGUGAUGGCUAGCGUCACGUGAAGCAGUGCGCCCAUGCGAUCCGUAGAUCGAUCUUGUUUGCCUUGCCUUAUUCUCCAAUGUGUCUUGCAGGUCUGUUGCGUCUCCCCGUACUCUGGUAUGUUUUGAGCGGUGUCGGGGUGCGGCUUGGGUUGAGGGCCUGAAGACCUCUCUAUCGCGGCCACGGGGUGGCCGAUCGGGCGCAUCGUACGCUGGUGAUGUACGUUUAGUUGCUUCCUCCUCAAGUUGGGGUAGCAGCCUGCGCUUUGGGCAGCUCUUGGAUGGGCGUUCUAGUUUAUACUCUUCGGCCGCUAGGACUUCGGUCCAUCUGUCGGCUAGCAAGUCUUGGUCAGCUCUAAGCUGCUGCUGUUUCUUCUUGAGGCUGCUUGCCAUGGCUACGAGCCUGCGUUUGAAAUGCUCUUGUUCGACGGGAUCCUCUGGCACGACGAAUUCGUCGUCGUCGAGGCUUGCCUCGUCUUCGGAGGGAGGCAUGUAAUUGUCAUCCUCAUCCUCUUUGUCGGCCGCUCUCUCAUGAGGGCUGGCUCCUUCGUCCUCCUACACUGAAUCCUGCUGGAGGGGGUUGUCUUCGGCACUGUCCGGCGUGUUGUUAUCUCCGGUGCCGGAAUCGCCGUUUUUGCUUUGGCGGGACUUAGAGCGGUGCCGCUGACGUCGGCGCUUGGGUUUCUUCUUGGAGGGGUCAUCCUCCGUUUUCUCCUCGCCAUCCCCCGCUUUAGGGGUGUCCACCAUGUAUAUGUCAUAUGACGAGGUGGCUUUCCAGUUCCCUAUAGGUGCUGGUUCUUGAUCGUCUCCUUCAUCGGCGUCCAUGCUGUCGGUGUCUUCGGAGUCAAAGUCGAGCAUGUCGGUUAAAUUGUCGACAGUGGCUACGAAGUGGGUGGUGGGUGGGCUACGAAUUUCUUCGUCGUCCGCAUCCCAACCGUGCUGGUCGUCGUUCGUCCAGGGCCCUCCUGACAAAGAGAGAUACUUUAACGAAUUCAGGAUAUUGCCGAAAGGCGAGCGCUGAAAGACAUCCGCGGCGGUGAACUCCAUGACCGGAGCCCAAUCGGGCUUAAUCGUAAGAGGUGCAGGAUUUACGGAGUCCGGAUCGGAGUCCGGCACCUUGGAGUCACGGGCCUUGCGAGGGACUAGGCUGGUAUCCGGCUCUAUCGCCGUAGAGGUUGCAGCUUCCCGGGCGGCAUCCAACCGUCCGUCCCCGACUGGCGCAGUGGGCUCCGAGCUAAUGGUCGGAGCGGACACCUGAGCGACGCUCUGGGUGUUGUCCGGUGACAGAGCUAAAUCAUGCCCAUCGUGACAGUGCGGCACGCCCAGUCGUGGCUCGAAUCCGUCGAAGAUCAAGUCCCCGCGGAUGUUGGCCGUGUAGUUUAAGCUUCCAAACCUGACCUGAUGGCCAGGGGCGUAGCUUUCGAUCUGCUCCAGAUGGCCGAACGAGUCGGCCCACAGUGCAAAGCCGCCGAAUACGAAGAUCUGUCCGGGGAGAAAAGUCUCAUCCCGGACCGCAUCGAGAUUGACGAGCAAAGAAGCCAUCGGGCCUAAAGGCGACGACACAGAGGAACUCUCAAUGAAAGCACCAAUGUCGGUGUCAAAACCGGCGGAUCUCGGGUAGGGGGUCCCGAACUGUGCGUCUGGGCGGAUGGUAACAGGAGACAAGGGACACGAUGUUUUUACCCAGGUUCGGGCCCUCUCGAUGGAGGUAAAACCCUACUCCUGCUUGAUUAAUGUUGAUGAUAUGGGUAGUACAAGAGUAGAUCUACCACGAGAUCGGAGUGGCUAAACCCUAGAAGCUAGCCUAUGGUAUGAUUGUUGUUCGUCCUACGGACUAAAACUCUCCGGUUUAUAUAGACACCGGAGAGGGCUAGGGUUACACAUAUAAUGGGAGGAGAUCUUCAUAUCGUAUCGCCAAGCUUGCCUUCCACACCAAGGAAAGUCCCAUCCGAACACGGGACAGAGUCUUCAAUCUUGUAUCUUCAUAGUCCAGGAGUCUGACCAAAGGUCUUAGUCUGGCCAUCCGGACACCCCCUAAUCCAGGACUCCCUCAGUGACCACAGGUCCCCAAGUGAAUAUCAUUGAGGAUCAUUCGGCCUUCUUCUAGCGUGAUGCACUUCUGGCAGAUUCCAGUUACACUUUCUCUAAACAACUGACCUCUUAUCACGGUGAAGGCUUUAGACCGUCGGACGAUCUGUCGAGCCUCUUCUUAGUCCUCCGGAAGUUCUUUCCUAAGGAUGUAUGCGAUGUACGACACUGUCCAGUCAGGGGUGAUGACCAAAACCUCCAUGACCAAGUCGACCACGGAUGGGACUUCGACUUCAGUCGGAUCUGUAGCGCUCUUGGGUUGUGGUGACUCUUCAGUGAAAGGAUCCUCUUGAACUGAAGGUGAAUGAAUAUGUUCCAAAAACACAUUGCGAGGAAUGGCCUCUCUCUUUGAACCUAUCUUUGCCAACUCAUCUGCAGCUUGAUUUUUCAGUCGGGGUAUAUGGUGAAGCUCCAAUCCUUCAAACCUCUUUUCCAGCUUUCUUACUGCAUUGCAAUAACCAGUCAUGGCCGGGCUCCUGACAUCCCAUUCCUUCAUUACUUGAUUAACCACCAAAUCUGAGUCACCGUAGACCAUAAGGCGACGGACGCCGAGUGAAAUUGCCAUAAGCAACCCGUAUAAAAGCGCUUCAUAUUCGGCUUCAUUAUUGGAAGAAUCACAAUAAAUCUGGAGAACAUAGCUAAGUUUGUCUCCACAGGGGGAUACCAGUACUACCCCGGCACCUGAACCAUUCAGCAUCUUGGAGCCGUCGAAGAACAUAGUCCAAUGCUCCGAUUGGACUUGAGUUGGCAAUUGUUUCUCAAUCCACUCGGCAAGGAAAUCUGUGAUUGCUUGGGACUUGAUAGCUUUCUUUGCCUCAAACUUGACAUCCAAUGGAAGGAUUUCAAUCGCCCAUUUUGCCACUCGACCGGUUACAUCUCUGUUAUUCAGAAUCUCGGAUAGUGGUGUGUCGUUGACGACUGUAAUGGAGUGAUCGGAGAAAUAAUGUGCAACCUUCUUCAUGGUCAUGUAUAUUCCAUAGACAAGCUUCUGAUAAUCUGGAUAUCGUUGCUUGGAUGGAGUCAAAACUUCAGAAAGAAAAUAAACCGGGCGCUGAACCUUGUAAGCUUUUCCUUCCUCUACUUGCUCAACCGUAAGUAGUGUACUGACAACUUGUCGAGCGGCUGCAAUAUAAAUCAGUAAGGGCUCUUUGCUGAUUGGUGCAGCUUGCACCGGCUGGGUGGAGAGCAGGGUUUUGAGCUCUGCAAAUGCUGCAUCAGCUUCUUCAGUCCACUCGAACUUAUCAGAUUUCUUCAUCAGUCGGUAAAGGGGCAAGGCCUUUUCACCGAGACGAGAAAUGAAUCGACUCAAGGUGGCCAAACAACCAGUCAACUUCUGAACGUCAUGCACUCGCACAGGGCGUUUCAUUCGGAGGAUGGUAUCAACUUUUUCCGGAUUAGCGUCGAUCCCUUGUUCGGAAACGAGAAAACCGAGUAACUUUCCUCCUGGAACUCCGAACGUGCACUUCGAUGGAUUAAGCUUGAUAUCGUACCUUCUUAGGUUGGCAAAGGUUUCUGUGAGGUCAGUCAGUAGGUUGGAACCUUUGCGAGACUUGACCACAAUGUCAUCCAUGUAUGCUUCCACAUUCCGACUAAUUUGAGUGAGCAGGCACUUCUGAAUCAUUCUCAUGAAUGUGGCUCCGGCAUUUUUGAGACCGAAUGGCAUGGUGACAUAGCAAAAGCACCCGAACGGGGUGAUGAAAGCCGUUUUUAUUUCAUUGGGACCAUACAGUCGGAUCUGAUGAUACCCAGAAUAUGCAUCCAAAAAAGACAAGGGCUCGCACCCCGCGGUCGAGUCGACAAUUUGAUCGAUGCGGGGGAGAGGGAAGUGAUCCUUCAGGCAGGCCCGAUUGAUAUGCUUGAAAUCAAUGCACAUACGAAGUGAGUCGUCCUUCUUAGGGACCAUGACGACAUUGGCAAGCCACUCGGAGUGGUAGAUCCCACGGAUGAACUCUGCUGCUAGCAGCCGAGCCACCUCCUCGCCAAUUGCUUUCCUCUUCUGCACGGCGGACCGCCGAAGAUGCUCUUUGACGGGUUUUACCUUGGGAUUGACCCGCAAACGGUGCUCAGCCAGUCCCCUGGGAACACCCGGCAUGUCAGAGGGUUUCCAUGCAAAGAUGUCCCAGUUCUCAUGGAGGAACUGGAUGAGCGCUUCUUCCUAUUUGCUGUCGAGUGUUGUUGAUAUAUGAGUCGGUGCAGCAUUGGGAUCGGUCGGGUGAAUAUGAAUCAGCUUUGUUUCACCAGUCGACAGAAAUGCAGAAUCUGUAGUAGGCUUCUUGGCUCGGAGAAAAUCACUCAGAUCUGCAUUCUUCUGAUACUGUUGGAAUUCAACUGCUGCCAUCUGCGCAUUGGCGAUCUUGGAACCUUUCUGGAAACAUUCCUCUGCAUUCUGCCGAUUGCCAGUAACCAUGAUCACACCUUUGGGGCCACGCAUCUUCAGCUUGAGAUACACAUAUGGUUGAGCCAUAAAAUGUGCAUAGGAUGGCCUACCCAGAAUGGAUGAUAAGCACUCUGGAAAUCCACGACUUCAAAUGUCAACUUCUCCUUACGGUAAUGUUUGGAAUCACCGAAAACCACGUCGAGGGUGAUCUGGCCGAGUGAUUCGGCUUUCUUUCUAGGGAUAACACCAUGAAAACUCAUGUUGCUCUCGCUAAGUUUGGACAUCAGAAUGCACAUCCCAGGUUUCAGCAUAAAGGAUGUUCAGACCACUGCCACCGUCCAUCAGUACUUUAGUCAGUCUAGUACCUCCAACCACAGGGUCGACCACCAGUGCUUGCCUCCCGGGGGUGGCUACAUGAGCAGGAUGGUCAGACUGGUCGAAUGUGAUGGAUGUCUGAGACCAUUUCAGGUAUGUGGCCGUCGCCGCCGGAGCGACCAUAUUCACUUAUCUGUUGAUGACUUUCAAUCGACUCUUGCUCUCAACGUCAGCAAAAAUCAUUAGGGUUGAAUUGACUUUAGGAUAACCGUCGUCUUCUUCCUCAUCCUCGUCUCUAUCCGACUCCUUUCCUUUUUCACUGGGUUGAUCUCCUCGGGAUUGCUGGAUCAGGAGUCAACACUGUCGAGUAGUGUGUUUAGGGUAAAUCAGAUUCCCCUCUUCAUCCUUCUUCAUGUGGAUGUGACACGGUAAAUCCAACACAUCAUUUCCCGCCUGAUCUUUCACUUUCUUAGGGGGCAGGGUCCCUUAGGUUUUCCCUUAAACUUUCCUUGAGCCACCACUGCGAUCUCACCGGGUGCAGCGGGCUCGGCCUUGCGCUUCUGCUUCCGAUUGGAAUUACCCCCAUCGGUCUCUUGGCCGAGUGGCUUACUCUUUCCGCUAUGGAGUCGAUCCUCUUCUUCCCCGUUAGCGUACCGAGUGGCUAUUUCCAUCAUCCGAGUCAGAGUCAUAUCACCAGUUCGACCAAAUUUCAGGACUAACUGUUGGUAUUUAACGCCCUCCUUGAAGGCGCACACUACUUGAUGCUCUGAUAUAUUUUCAACGGUGUAAUGCAGAGUGGACCACCUCUGAAUGAAAUCUCUCAAGGUCUCACUCGGCUUCUGCACACAAUGUUGCAACUCAAUCAAUCCUGCAGGUUGUUUGCACGUGCCUUCGAAGGUCCUGACGAAUACUCGAGCCAGCUCUUCCCAACUGUAUAUACUGCUCGGGGCUAACUGAGUCAACCACGCUCGGGCUGAGCCUUCCAACAUCAGAGGGAGAUGUUUCAUUGCUACUUCAUCAUUUCCACCGCCAAUCUGCACAGCCACUCAGUAAUCCUCAAGUCAAGUUUCAGGCUUGGAUUCUCCAGUGAACUUGCUGACUUGGGUCGCCAACCUGAAGUUGGGAGGAAUCACCGCCGCCCUGAUGGCCCUGCUAAAACACUCCGGACCGGAAACAUGCACUCUGCUGCCGCCUGGACAAUCUCUGCCAGGGUCUUCUCUGUGUGCCUUGUUCCGGUCGACCAGGCCUUGAACGAGGAUGGAUCUCGCGUCAAAGCCUGGUUCCCUUGGGUGGACUGAGGCUCUGCGCUCGCCACUGUGACGGCGUCUGUCAUCGUUCCGCCGAGGCACAAAUGACGCACUCCUCGGAGGAGGCAUGGGUCCUCGACGAUGAUUGUCGCGGUCGAGUGGAUGAUCAUACUGUCCGCGGCCCUCAUGUCGCAGGGGCGAUCUUGGGCUGUGGGCCGACUGAACUGUGUCCGCUACAACGGACCUGCUGUGAAUCCUAUUCCGUGACUGAGAGACUGCUGUGUUUUGCUCUCCUGCUGCCCGAAGCAAGGCCCAGAUCUGCAUCAACCCUCUGCCGGCCUCCGACUGGGAAGGUUGGAUUGACUCUGCUAUUCGGGCCGCAGAUGUGAGGUUCUGGAUCGGAGUACGGUAUACCUUAGGUGGAGGCGGAAAAAGCUAUCGUCGACUGGACUCAUGGAUCCGCUCCUGAGCGCGCUCGUCGAGAGCGCGCUGAAGGUUAUCCAGUCGAGUGCGCUCAGCCAAAUUAGCUAGGUGCACCUCCUCCAAGGCCCGGGCCUCGGGGGUUUCUCCAACGAUGGGCGUGUGGAGUGCAUCCAUGUUGCGGCGACGAAGUUCUUCCCACUGUUGCGAAGAGAGGGGUUCGAUCGGUAUUCCUCAUGGACGUGCGACGGAUCGCCGCCCCCGUCUCCGCCGUCCUUACGGCGGAAACCAGGUGGGCUGUGAGGCCCGUCGACCAUCAAGACUUCAGCCGCAGGGUCGUUGCUAUCGCACUUGGAUGCGGUCUCCACGGAGCCAGUCGACAGAUCGAACAUGCCAUGGAGAGUUUCGUCGGGCUCGAUUGCCGCGACUUGAUGGGUGGCCGAACGCCGAGCCAUCACGUGCUUCACCCACCGCUGAAGCCGUGAUCGACCGGACCGCUUGCGGCGGCGAACAGCGGGGAGUGAAAACACCAUUGGAGCCGACUGAUACUGAGUCGACGGCUGCCGGAGGAGAACGCCGCGAACACACGCUCGGAAGUGCGUCGCCCCUCGGGCGGGGAGCGCCUCAAUGUCCAGGGGAGCUUCUUGAAGCCACGCGGAGUCGUCGGCGAUGAAAACGAGCGCGCCGAGACAGAUCUCGCGGCCCUCAGCCAAUCCGCCGCCGGAAACCAUGACGAUGACGAUCGGUAAAAUUUGCAACUUCACCAACUGUCGUGGUCCUAAGACUGAUAGUAGAAAGGGGGGUAGGUAUGGUGAGACAAGAUCUCAGCUAUGGUGAAGGUGUACACACGAGAUUUACGAGUUCAGGCCCUUCUCGGUGGAAGUAACAACCCUACGUCUCGGUGCCCGGAGGCGGACGAUUGGAUUAUGCGUGUGGUAUUACAGGGGGUGCCAACCCUUGUCCCAGAGGAGGGGGGUGGCUUAUAUAGAGUGCGCCAGGACCCCAGCCAUCCUCCAUUACAAGGGGCUUAAUGUACAUAAAGUAAGGGCGUUACUGAUAACGCCAACCUUAAGUGUUGCCCGUUGCAAUGCUGAGUGACUCCUGGCCUUCGAUAGGUCGAGUGAUUCUCUGGAUGGUCGAGUGAUAGUUUGGGGGAGGACGCCCGAGUGACCCGACUGUCGAGUGGAUAGCACUCGACAUCUUUGCCUGGGGGCCUCCAGCUGUCUCUUGGACUCCUUAUCUUCUAGGGUAGUGACCUUGGGUAGGGCGUGUAGGUCUGGCCUAUGACCCUACCCCAGGCCUGUAUCCUCAUCACGUACCAGUCAAUUUGACGCCUGUGGAGCCGUGAUCCCUCCAAAAUCGAGACAUCUCUUUGUGCUCUGUUUGUCUUUUUAGAGCGGAAGAGCAUCCAUCACUUGCCCUGAGUCUUUUUUUUUGCGGGAAAAUUAGAGAGCUUUAUUCAUUGAAAGCACACUCGGUGCAGUCAGCCAAUAGGCUGGUCACCAAGAAGCUAGGGGUUUCAUCGAGCCAGCUUUCCGUCACAUUCAGUGUGCAAGCACGCUUCGCACACAGAUGUGCCGGAACGUUCGCCGCCCGAUUUAUAUGUCGAAUGUCAAAAGAAGAAAAACUAGUACAGAGCUCUCCUAUUUCUAAAAGUAAAGGAGCCACAAUUGAACGAGAAUUGUGGCGAGAUUGCCAGAACUUCACCAGUUCCAAACAGUCGACUUCCAUACACACAUGCGGAAAUCCUCGAAGACAAGCAAAGCGUACUCCAUCUCACAGCAACACGCACUCCAUCAUCAAGGGAUCUGAAACUCCCAUGUAUGGUUUGCACCAAGAACCCAGUAGUGCAGAGGAUGAUCGGGCCACUCCUCCUGCACCGCCCCGGCCUUCAUCAAAAUUCAGAGCGCCGUCGAUUGUGAUCUUGACCGAACCCACAUCCGGGGGCCGCCAACCGUAACCUGGUAGAACCAAGAUUUCCUUACGAGGUAGCUGAAGGAGGGAGAUAGACUCCUUAAUAUUUCUGAUAGUUGUUGUAGGGUCUCUCCCCUCGUCGCCAUGUUUGAUUCGGUUCCUGGAAUGCCAAAUUGACCACAUGGUAGUAGUGAUCUUGGCAUGUUCAUCGGAUGCGGAAAUCCUCGAAGACAAGCAAGCAUACUCCAUCUAGCAGCGACAAGCACUCCAUCAUCAAGGGAUCUAAAACUCCCAUGUAUGGUUUGCACCAAGAACCCAGUAGUGCAGAGGAGUAGUGCAGAGGAUGAUCGGGCCACUCCUCCUGCACCGCCCCGGCCUUCAUCAAAAUUAGAGCACCGUCGGUUGUGAUCUUGACCGAACCCACAUCCGGGGGCCGCCAACCGUAACCCGGUAGAACCAAGGUUUCCUUACGAGGUAGCUGAAGGAGGGAGAUAGACUCCUUAAUGUUUCUGAUAGUUGCUAUAGGGUCUCUCCCCUCGCCGCCAUGUUUGAUUUGGUUCCUAGAAUGCCAUGACCACAUGGUAGUAGUGAUCUUGGCACGUUCAUCGGAUGAGUGGAGAGGGGGAAGGCAAAGACCAAGCCAUGUCCACGCCUCUUCCCAGAAGCUCUGUGCAUGUGUACAAUGAAUCAGUGCAUGCUUCAAAUCACUUGCCCUGAGUCUUUUUAAAGAUGAUCUCGAUAUGAACUACACACAGAUGUAGUGCAUGCUUCAAAUCACUUGCCCUGAGUCUUUUUAAAGAUGAUCUCGAUGUGAACUACACACAGAUGUAUACGGACGUAUUUUAGAGUUUAGAUUGAACGGAGGGAGUAGAUAUAAACAUGCAUAUGGUCCAUCGGAACUCCACUUUCUGUUGGUUACUCAUACGAGACCAUUAACCCGGACGGAGGUAGUGUAUAUAAAAGCGAUAGCAAAAAGAAUACUAAUGUUUUUAUGCUAGGGAAAUUGGGCACAAUACACGUUCAAACUCAGUUUCAGCACCCUCCUGAUUUAACCAAAAUUUGCCUCCGUGAAAUGAUCUCAACAUCAUAAAUUUCCUGCUUAUGAUGUGUCACAAAUUCACAAACAGAUUGAGCUCGUCGUCAUUGCAUGUUAACCAAAACCUAGCCAAGUUAGGAAGAUGUCAAACUCAACAAAGGACAUAAAACUAUAUAGAAUCCAAACAUGGGUAAACCUCAUCUGAUCUUUGCAUAAGUCUGGAGAACGGAACAGAGAAUCAGAAAACCACAAUACGAUUCCACAGUGCUGCUAAAAGGGUUCGAGUUCCUCGUCAAAAUCAGGACACACUGAAAGGGAAACUACAUGGCAUAUGCUCUCGCAUAUAAGGCUAGGCUUAGUUCAUCCUCUGCGCAGCCUCCUUGGCGAUGAGCCUUUCCCUGGCCUUGGUCUUGGCCUGCGACUUGGAUCCCAU
rnacentral:lncRNA from 1 species